GAACAUGCUGAUUAGUUAGACAACUGAAUUACUAAUCUUUAUUAUUAUUGCAACAAACACACGGAUUACACUAAAAGCUAGUGAAUCAUACACUUGCAGAUGACUUAUCCAAACACAAAGAUAAGACAUGAUUUUAUUAUUAUUGCUAUAAACACACGGAUUACAGCGAAAUUCAAAAACUAAAAACAAGGAAAAAAGUAGUGAUGAAAACCAAUGCCACUUCCGGGAACACGAUUGCAUUCGCACAUGCAACAAGCCUUUUAAACCCAUAGGUGACCCAAAUGGGACGAGUGAAGUCUCGUGAGGGUUUCCAGAGACGUUACCCACAAACAUCAUGCAUACGGAUCAUCAACAUCUGACUUGGGAGACUGAGUAGAUAUCCACCCCUCCAGCAUCAGGUUGUUUUGGUUGAGGCGUAAUUCGAAUCUGUUUUCAAUGAACGGCCUGGUUAUGAGAUCGCUUUGCAAGUGACGUAAUCGGCAGCGCGUGAUUAGGUUGUUGCUGUCAGGUGGUCCGACAGGCUCGACCUUGAACAAUGUGCAAGCCCAAUUGUCUUUGGUUUCAUUUCGGUCAGCAGCUGCGGCCAGGACCAAUAGCCUGUUUUGGUCCACCCUUCUCAAGUAGUUGCCAUUGUAGGAGCAUUUGAUAUGCACGUAAUUCUUGUCGGCGUAGUCCUCAUUGUUUGGCUUCUCGGUGGUGAACUUUAUGAACCUGCUGUUUUCAUUGUCCUCGGAAAACUGGACAAUCUCAUUAAGGUCGCUUUCUGCAUCAAGUUGAUAGCGCAAAUACUUGUUGUUGAUAUCUGCUUUCAGCAGAAAAGGGCUUGGUAGUACAGGUGGUGGAGCCAUAUCGUAUAGUGUAGUUGGGAUUGGGAUGCUCUCUCUUUUUUAUUCUCUGUUGAUGAUCUAAUUUGCUUGCUGUGAAUGUGAUGCUUAGUUUAAACCUGCUAUCCUAUUUAUAAGAAAUUAAGCACAAGCUAGCUCAAGUUAUGGUCUUUAAUUAAUAUUAAUUUCGACAAAUCAGUUUCCCAUCUCUUUCAUUGAUAUGAACAUGGCUGAUCUCAUUGAUGUGGCGCAAUAUUUGUUAAAUUAGCCGUUCGGGUUGAUUUCUUUGUACAACUCAUCUGCCAAUUCUACAACUUGUAGACCUAAUUCCCAGUACAAAAUUAAAAAAAAAUUAAAAUCCAAAACUAAUAUAAGAUAAAUAAAGACUUUUUAUAUCAUAAAAUAAGACUUUCUAACUUGUAUACAAGACAAUAGUGACAAGAUCAAACACAUUGAUGGGUGCGCAUUUUCCAUCAACAUCUGUUCUGUGUGUUUAAACUGACCGUGGAGUCUUUUUAGCAAUUAAAAGUUUUGUAUCAUGUAAUUGUCUUGGUUUGAUAAGACCUACAUCUAGAUGAGAUGCUUCUGAAGACUAAUGUAAAACUUUAUGUUGAUAUUUCUUGAGGGUGAAACAUCGUUUGAGAAACGUGUUGGGCCUCAUUACAAUUUUUUCAUUUAGUUUUUAACUUUUGGUUUAAAUAUUCUACUAUGAAUAAAUUUGUGGCUUUAAUAACUAGUAAAACCACUUUCAAAUAUCUUAGUAUCGGCUUUCAGAACAAAGGGGUUUGGUAGUACAGGUGGAGCCAUAUUGUAUAGUGUAGCUGGGAUUGGGAUGAUCUCUCUCUCUUUUUUGUUUUUUUUUUCCCUUUAAUUUGCUUGCUUUGAAUGUGAUGCUCAGUUCAAACCUACUAUCCUAUUUCUAAGAAAUUAAGCACAAGCUAUCUCAAGUUAUGGACUUUAAUUAAUAUUAAUUUCCUCAAUCAGUUUCCCAUAUCUUUCAUUGAUACGAACAUGGCUGAUCUCAUUGGUGUGACGCAAGAUUUGUUAAAAUAGCGAUCGGAUUGAUUUUUCUUUGUAUAACUCUUCUGCCAAUUCUGAACUUGUACAUAUAAUUCCCAUUAUAAAAUAAAUAAAUAAAAUUCAAAACUCAUAUAAAAUAAAUAGAGACUUUUUAUAGCAUAUAAAAUAAGACUUUGUAACUUGUACAUAGUUAUUGAUAACAUUCAUCUAAGAACUAACAGAUGAAUGUAUGCAAGCAAUAUUGAAGAAAUACAGAGAGAAAGAUCGAAAGGAAUAGAGAGAGAAAUAGAGAAAGAAAUGAGUGAAAGCUUUGUUAUUUCAUAAGAACAAAAGAUCAUCACAAAAGAACCCUGAUUCCUUCUUAUAUAGUCUGCCCAUGUAGCUUAUCAGCUAAGCCACCUGUGUAACUAAUUCUUAACAAACUAACUAACUCCAAUAGCUGAUAUGGCACUUAUGAUGAUGUGUCAAUCACUAUAUAUCUUCAACAUCCCCCCGCAAUCUCAACUGGGAUUUUCUAGCUUGAGAUUGUAAAAAUGUUAGACAAAUGAAGGACUGUGAAGACCUUUGGUAAGAACAUCGGCAGUUUGCUCCUCAGUUGGGAUAUACAACACCUCCAAAUCGCCUUCAUGCACCCGUUCUCGUACAAAAUGGUAGUAUGUAUUAAGGUGUUUAAUUCUUGAAUGAAACACCAUAUUAGCACUGAUCGGAUCAUAUUUAUAUAUAUUUUUACUUCGAAUUCACUCGUCUUUUCUUAGUUAGUUCCUUAUAUUUUUGAGCUAUUUACGUUAUUUUUGUGUUUAUAGGAUUUGUUAUGCAAAGAAAAUAAAAAUAGAACAAAUGAAAUUUUAUGUAAUAAAUUCGUCAAAACUGUCUGUGUAGAUCAUCUUUUAAAUAAAAUUAAUAAAAAUAAUAAUAAUGGUAAGUCAUGAUGAUGUUUGAAACAUCAUCAUGAUUCAUGUUUUGUAGAAGAAGAAAGGAACGGCAAAGAAGGAGAAAAUAAAGAAUAAAAGGAGGGAGAGCGUCGGUGGAAAAGAAAAAGGAAUAAAAAGCUGCCUUUACCAACAGAGAGAGUGGGGAGGGCAGAAAGAAAAACACGGCAUAAAGAAUAAGAAUAAGAGGAAGUGAACAGCAGUGCGAAGAAGAAAGGAAGAAUAAGAAAAUAAAGAUAAGAGGCAGAGCGGAAGAGAGAGGAGGGGGGAGAUAAGUCAGAGGGACGCGGAACGAAGAGAGGAAAGCAGCAAAGCUGCCAGCGGAAAGAAAAGGUUGCCCUUGCAGCCUUGAAAAAAAAAGCAAAAAAUAAAGGAGAGGUCAGGAGGGGAGAGAGGUUAGAGUGCGAAAACAGAGAGAGAGAAGGCGGGAGCAGCGCAGCAGAGCACAGCAGCAGGUGCAGGGAAGUCAGGAGCUAGGCAGAUCUUCUUUUCUUGGUUUUAUCUUCUCAAACCCAUGUUUUACUUUUGGUUUAAUUUGAUAAUAAUGUGUAACUAAAUUUAUUUUGGCUAGAGGUUAAUUCAAAGCCAUGAAUAUAUUUGUAAUAUGAAUUGAUUACCUUCAGUUGUGAUUUCUGAGUUGUGAUUUAAUUUGCUUAACUGCUUGAUUGAUAACUUAUUUUUGUAUGUCGAUUAAGAAUGCAUACUUAAUUUACAUGCAUGAAUUUGAUGCUAGAAUAUAAGUGAAUUUCACCUAAUCGUUAUGAACUUAUAUUCACAAGUAGUGAAGGUUGUUAUCCACAAUCGUGUUAAGUGAAUUCUAGGCUGGAUUAACAUGCGUAUUCCAUAGUUAUGAAUGCCUAGUCAAUGUUUAUGAUUUCCGUUGAACUUAAUGAUCUUUGUUGAAUGUCUCUAUCAUGCGUAUUCCAUAGUUAGGGACUUUGAUGAGGAAUAAUUUGGUUGUAAUGCGUAUUCCAUUCAAUCCAAUGAAUCUAGGGAAAUCUAAGAGUUAAUUUAAGCGGACCUAAUUAACUUGGAACAUUGUCAUUCACAAUUUAUUGAAAGAACAACUGAAAAUCAAUUUAGGUUGCAUAUGUGUCAUGUGUGGAGAAGAACCCUCUAGCUAGUCCGUCACCUAUCCUUUCACCUUAAUUUCAUGCUUUUGUCAACUCUGUAAUUUAUUUAAGUUUAAUUUACUUCUCGUCAAAACCAAACCCCCCCAUUAUUAAAUUAUAUUAUUUAGUUAAUUUUCAUUGUUGUUAGUCAUUUAAUUCAAUUUCCGUCCAUUUCAGUUUCUAGUGUCUAAUUUGAUUGUUUUCAUUAUUUUGAGUCAUUCUAAGUGUGUUUCGAGUUAUUAGAGUUUUUAGCCUAGUUUUGUGUCCUUGAGUCUUGUUUAAUAUUUUUAAAUUAAUUUAGAAUAGAUUAGCAAUCCCUCCUAAUCCCCGGCCUAGAACGAUACCCUACUUACAUCUAUAAUACAAUUGUCAAAAAGAGGGUUUAAUUGGUGUGUCAAGUAAUUUUCACAUCAAGCACUUAAGGCAAUAGCAGACAUAUUGUCACAGUGAAUCGUUGGUGGAGCAUCCAAAAAUACACUCAAAUCCUUCAAUAUAUUUCGAAUCCAAGCUAUAUCUACGGCAGUAUGUGCUAAGGCUUUAUAUUCAGCCUCAGUAGAACUCCUGGAUAUCGAGUUUUGUUUCUUCGAUUGCCAAGAAAUUGGAUUACUACCCAAGUACACGACAUAACCAGUGAUAGACCGACGAGUAUUCAAGUCUGUAGCCCAAUAAGAAUCAGAAAAUGCAGUAAGCUUUGAAACUGUGUUUGCAGAAAAAGCAAUACCAAUGUUCAUGGUUUCUUGAAGAUAACGAAUGAUUCAUUUAACAACGCCAAAAUGAACAUCAGUUGGUGAGGACAUCAACUGACAUACUGUGUUUACAGCAAAGGCAAUAUCAGGCCUAGUAAAGGUCAUAUAUUGUAAAGAUCCCACAAUACUUAUGUAAGGUUGGAUCUGUCAAUAAUUGUCCCUCAGAGUGUAACAUUUGAUGAUGAGGUUUACAAGGAGUGGUUGCUGGUUUACAUGAUUCCAUACCUGCUUUAUGGACGAGAUCUUUGAUAUACUUAGACUGAUUAACAAAAACACUGCCAUUUGCUUUAUAUUGAACUUGUAAACCCAAAAAAUAUGUAAGUUGUCCCAUAUCCUUUAACUCGAAUACCUCAGAUAAUUAUUGAAUCACUUUUUGGAUCUUCAAAGGAUUAGAACCAGUUAAGAUGAUAUCAUGAACAUAAAGUAAUAAGAUAAUGAUAUCAGAGUCAUCCUUCUUGACAAACAAACUUGUAUCAGAAGUUGAUGCAUGAAACUCCAUAACUGUCAAAUAACUUGUAAACUUUGAAUUCCACACUCGUGGAGCCUGUUUCAAGCCAUAUGAUGUAUCAAUAAAUCCUUGUGGUUGCUGCAUAUAAACUUCUUUUUGUAAAUCUCCGUGUAGAAAAGCGUUCUUGAUAUCUAAUUGGCGAAGAGGCCAAUGAUUCAUUGCAGCUAAAGAAAGAAUAAUCCUUAUAGUAGUAUGUCCGACAACAGGACUAAAUGUGUCCAAGUAGUCAAUACCAUGUUCUUGGGAGAACCCUUGAGCUACAAGCCUUGCUUUAUACCUGGAGACACUGCCAUCAAAGUUUUUCUUCACUUUGUAUUCCCAUUUGUUUCCUACAAUUGUUCUGUCUUCAGGUGCAGGAACCAAUAGCCAAGUUCCUUGUGCUCGAAGUGAAUCAUAUUUCUCCUGCAUUGCCUUUUGCCACUGUGAAAUAGUAGGAGCUUUCCGAAAUGUCUUAGGUUCUGAAGCAUCAGUGAUCUCAGAAAGAAAGGAAUAGCCACCCGUGAAAGGUUCUUCAUCAGUGAUUUGGAGACAACAAAGCUCAGGACAUUGUGCUACUAAAGCAGCAUAAUUUUGUCCCUCAAUUGUUCCACUCUUCAAUCUAGGGACCAUUGAGUGAGUCAAUGGUGUAGUAUGUAAAAUGAGAUCAAAUAGAGAUAAAUCAGGAAGGAUUACCUCAAGUUGUGACUCAGAGUGGACAAGCAACAAGGAUUGUGUACCAGAGUGAUGAUGUGUAAGAGAGUGAUGAUGUGAAGAGCUUGGAGAUGCAUAUAGAAGAUUGGUUUCAGUCGAAUUUGUAUCUUGAUCACUAGGUUGAAUCACCUGUGUAUUGUCCGAACUAGAAAUAUUCAAUUAACCAACCACAUUUAUACUUUCACAAUUUGCAGGAAUACUGUGAUGUGAACCAGUAUCAUUUGCUGAUAUAUGUAUAGAACUAGCUGCUUGUGAAUCAUGCUGUAUUUAUGUAUGAGGCAGGACUCUUGCACUUGGAACUUGUAACUGAAUCAAAACAGGUGUCUGAGAACACCUAUAUGUAGCUGUAGAAUCCUUAGAUGGCAAAACUUGUUUAAACGGAUAUACAUCUUCAUCAUGUAGUACAUGCCCUGACAGAAUGAACUUUCUAGUCUUGAUAUCAUAACAAAUAACUCCUUUAUAUCCAUGAGCAAAACCAAGAAAUACACAUUGAGCUGACUGUAGCUCCAAUUUAUUCUUAUUGAAUGAUCUUAUCAAGAUAGAGCAGCCAUAAGAAACUCUUAACUUUGGAGGAAUAUGAAGUUUCCAAAUAAGAUUCCAUCGCCGGAAAAGCACAAGGCCUAAUGGCCCAAAAAUAAGCAGAUUUAACUGAAAAAUUACCAUCAUUUAUUCCACUUCAGAUACACUUGGCAGUCAAAGCAUCAAAACUAAUUGGAAUGCUAAGAAUUUGUUCAACCACCUCUUUAGUAAAACAAGUAAUAGUGGAUCCAAACCAUUAUUGUAACAAUAGUUAGCUACAGUAGCCUUAUAUGUAUUGUCGGCGUUACCACACAAUCCCGAUAUACGUCCAGGAUCGACAUGUGAUCUCAUCAAAUACUCAUAUCUCUAACUUACCCCACCUCCGGAAUAUGGCAAAGUGAUGAGUCAAUAUUUACCAUAUAUUUUACCCUAAUCUUAGUAUUAAUUUAUUAGUUAUUUUGGUAGAAUUUUGAUACUUUGUUAUAUAUUUCUAAUAUAGGACAUUCGACUUCAUCUGGAGAAAAAAGUAACCAAACGGAUGAUUUUUGGAGUGAUUCCAAUUGGAGGAUGUUUGUGAGUCUUCGAGAUGAUUAUAUCAAAAUUCCAAAUUUUUCUACCAAGUCGUUUGACCGUGGCAAUGAAAUUAAGGCCCUGCGCGCAGCUUUCUCAGAUUGACAUUUCGGGACAUUUUGCGUAUUUUGAAAGUCAAGAUGUAAUAUUUUGAGGAAGAUUUCUUCUGAGGAUUUGUAUGGGACGUCUCCAUCUUUCAAAAGAGACAUUUUGGGACCAAAUCGGAGUUGAUUUGGUUGGUCAGAAGUCUGAUUUUCUGAGAUCUCCGAAUUCUAGUUCAAAUAGGAAACCUUUUAUUUUCUGUUUUAUUAUUUUAUUAUGUUUCAUAGUUUUAUUGUAAGACCUUUUAGGGUUUUAUUUUGUAUUAGUAUAAAUAAGAUAUUUAGCCAUUAGGGGAAAAGGGGAGGAGAGAAUAGGAGGAGAAUGCACACAAUACUUUGGAGGAUUCAAGUUUAUUUUCAAGGUGUUUUCUAUCCAUGUUCUUAAUAAUAUUUUGUUUUAUAGUUGAUAGUAACUAGUUUCGUUUGCUAGAUCGAGGCCAUGACCCUUAGCAAGAAUACGUAGUUUCUUUUCAAUCUGCUUAUGAUAUUAUGCAUGCAAGUUUUGAAUUAUUAAUCAUCGUGCUUUAAACUAUCUAAUUGUGUUGAUGAUUGGCCGCCAUUAGGAUAUUUAGAAAAGUAAUUUGAUGCAAUUUUGGCGGAGGGCUGUCCCUAGAAUUGGUGCUGGCUUCUUGUGGUUAAUAUGUGUAACUUCUUAGGAUGGAUGACAUGUCUUAAGGGUUAUAUGGUUUUUCAAAAGGAUUUCACAAAACUUUAUGAGUCUUGCAUGUUAACUUUUGAUCUGGACACCACAGACAGGUUGCAUGUUAGAUAUAGGUUCUAUGUUGGAGGUUCCAAGUAAGGCAUACAUUAGGAAAACCUAACCAUCAAAAUAUGCAUUUGUAAUUCAUAAGUAAUUGGAAGAACUACGUAGGAUUGUUAAGGUGAUGGUGAAACCCUAGUGCUUAAAUUUAUUUUCAAAACUAUUUUCUUUGGUUUUCUUUACUUUCCCAAUUUAUAGUGGAUCCAAACCAUUAUUGUAACAAUACUUAGCUACAGUAGCGUUAAGCAUAUUAUCGGUGUCAUGCCCCGAUCCCGACAUACGUCUAGGAUCGACACGUGAUGUCACCAAAUACCCACAUCUCUAACUUACCCUGCCUCUAUGGCAAAGUGAUGAGUCAAUAUUUUACCAUAUAUUUUACCCUAAUCUUAGUAUUAAUUUGUUGGUUAUUUUGGAAGAAUUUUUAUACUUUGUUAUAUAUUUCUAAUGUAGGAUAUUCUACAUCCUCGGGAGAAAAAAGUAACCAAACAGAUGAAUUUUGGAGUGAUUCCAAUUAGAGAAUGUUCGUGAGUCUUUCAAGCUGAUUGUAUCAUAAUUCCAGAUUUUACUAUCAAGCUGUUUGACCGUGGCGAUGAAAUUAAGGCCCAGCACGCAACUUUCCCAUAUUGACGUUUCUGGACGUUUUGGGUAUUUUGAAGGUCAAGAUGUUAUGUUUGGAAGAAGAUUCCUUCUGAUGAUUUGUAUGGGACGUCUCCAGCUUUCAAAAGAGACCUUUUGGGAUGAAAUUGAAGUUGAUUUGUUUGGUCAAAAGUCUGAUUGUCUGAUAACUCCGAAUUCUAGUUCAAAUAGGAAACCUUUUAUUUUCUGUUUUAUUAUUUUAUUAUGUUUCCUAGUUUUAUUCUAAGACCUUUUAGGGUUUUAUUUUGUAUUAGUAUAAAUAAGAUGUUUAGCCAUUAGGGUAAAAGAGGAGGAGAGAAUAAGAGGAGAACACACAUAGUACUUUGGAGGAUUCAAGUUUAUUUUCAAGGUGUUUUCUAUCCAUGUUCUUAAUAAUAUUUUGUAUUAUGGUUGUUAGUAACUAGUUUCGUUUGCUAGGGCGAGGCCACGAGCCUUAGUGAGAAUAUGUAGUUUCUUUUCAAUUUGCUUAUGAUAUAUAUUAUGCAUGCAAGUUUUGAAUUAUUAAUCACUGUGCUUUAAACUAUAUAAUUGUCUUGAUGAUUGGCCACCAUUAGGAUAUUUAAAAAAGUAAUUUGAUGCAAUUUUGGUGGUGGGCUGUCCCUGGAAUUGGUGCUGGCUUCUUGUGGUUAAUAUGUGUAACUUCUUAGGAUGGACGACACGUCUUAAGGGUUAUAUGGUUGUUCAAAAGGAUUUCAUAAAACUUAAUGAGUCUUGCAUGUUCACAUUCGAUCUGGACACCACAGACAGGUUGCAUGUUAGAUAUACGUUCAAUGUUGGAGGUUCCAAGUAGGGCAUACUUUAGGAAAACCAAACCUUCAAAAUAUGCAUGUGUAAUUCAUAAGUAAUUGGAAGAACUACGUAGGAUUGUUAAGGUAACGGUGAAACCCUAGUGCUUAAAUUUAUUUUCAAAAACUAUUUUCUUUGGUUUUCUUUACUCUCCCAAUUUAUUUAAUUGUUUUCAGUUAAAUUCGUUUUUAAUAUUUUAGGUUAUAAAACCAACCUCUUCUAGACUUUAUUUUCAAAUAAUUAAUUAAGAUUUGGUUUUAACAUAAAUUAUGGCUUUUUUUAUUAGCACCCCACAAAAUGUUGAAUGCACCCCACAUUAAAAUUUAAUAUUAAAUGACUUAUUUACCCCACUAUGCAAUGACAAUUUUGACCUUAUUAGGUUUUAAAAAAAUAAAAUAAAAAUAUCUAAAUACACCCCAAAUCAAUGUUUUAGAACCUUCACAUGAGGUAAGACUAUGUUUCAUCGGUGGUUUGGUUAAUUUCAUAUUGCUUUUUUUUUUUUCUUCCGUUGGUUAUUCAUUUUCUUCUUUGCAGGUUACAAAUCCAGCCAGUGGUCCUCCUAGAGAAGGUUUGGUUAUAUCCCUUGAAAUGAACAAUGGAAAGCGACAAAAUAUUUUGGAGGUUAGACCAGAAAAUGCAUCGCAGGUUUGUUGGCAUGUACCACUCUGCCUAUUGAUAUUGAGUUGUAUGGUUCUUAACAAAUAAUUGAGGUGUAUGAUUCUUAGUAAAUAAAUGAGGAUUUGAUAAUAUUUUUUGGUGUAUUUAAAUAGGAUAGCAUACAAGGCAAUACCUCUAUAGGGGACAGUGAGGUUGCAACAACGAGCGUCGUUGAUUACACAAACGCAUUUAAAACAGACGAGGUAACUAUUUUUAGUAUAUUGAAUGUGCAUCUGUGAAUUUCAUGGAAACUCUUGCAUUCUUUUAUGCAACAUAGUGCAUUAGGUUCAUAAUAGGGACUAACAUAUGGGUUGGAAUCUUAGCAUGUCUACAAACAUUUUGUUAGUGGCAAAUGUCAAUGAUCUUGUAUGUACAGGUGUUCAAAAGUAAAAAUGAUUUCCUUGAUUGGACUCGCGCACAAGGAAAAAAGAAUAAUAUGGUUAUUGUCAUUAAGAGGUCUGAUGCGGGAAGGGUUGACCGAAUGAGGAAGAGAGCUCGAAUAACAUUUGCUUGUGAGAGACAUGGCGAGUAUCGAUCCAUAUUGAGGAAGUCUGAUAUUAAUGACCAAAAUUCUGAUGCAAAUAAUAAGAAGAAGAAAGAACCCAGGAAUACUGGUAUUAAAAAAUACGGAUGUCCAUUUAUGUUGAAAGGAGUCAACGUUGGAGAAGGAGAUGAAUGGAAAUUGGAGGUUGAGUGUGGGGUGCAUAACCAUACUUAUUCACAGUAUCUUGAAGGGCAUUCUUUUGUCGGACGAUUAACUAAAGAGCAAAAUGAACUUUUAGUUGACAUGUCUACAAGUUUAGUGAGACCCAAAGUUAUUUUGAACACCAUAAAGACAAAAGAUCCACUUAAUGUAACAACGAUGAGGACAAUAUACAAUGCAAGACACUAUCAUCGGACAAAAGAAAACGCAGGGAAAUCAGAAAUGCAACAGUUGUUAUGUAAGUUGGCUGAGUACAACUAUAUUGAGCAUCAUCAAAGUAUUGGUAUUGAUAAUGUUGUUAGUGACUUGUUUUGGACUCAACCAAUUAAUGUCGAUAUCUUACAUUGUUUCGCACAUGUACUUAUCAUGGAUUGCACGUACAAGACUAAUAGGCAUCGUUUCCACUCCUGGAGAUUGUAAGGGUAACUUCAACUAAUAUUACAUUGUCGGUUGCAUUUGCUUUCAUUGACCAUGAGAAGGAAGACAAUUACACAUGCGCAUUGACAAGAUUGAAGACUCUAAUGAAUGAUGAUUGUAUUCCUGGUGUGAUUGUCACUAGGGGUGGGUUCGGUUUAAAUCGGUUCGGUUUUUUGCCAAAACCGAAACCAAACCAAAAUUUCGGUUCGGUUCAAUUUUUUUUCUGUUUUUUUCGGUUCGGUUUUUUCCGGUUCGGUUUCGGUUCGGUUUUGGUUUUUUGUUUUUAUUUUUUUUCAAAGAAUGAAAAACAUUGAAAUUUUAAAUUUUAACAUAUCCAACACAAUCAUAACAUAAACAUUCUAACUAGAAUCAAAGACAAUGAAAAUAAACAUUUAAAGUUGAACUAAAAUCAUCAAUCAAGUCUUUCAAAGUCCAAACUAACAACCUCACAACACAAAAAUCACACAAAAAUCGUACAAAUGACUUAGAAAAGUUAAAUUGUAUGAUGUUGUUCAAAGAUCAGUGUUGUUUGCUUGUAACUGCAUGUUGACAACUUGAUUAGUAAAGGUAAUACGUGGGUGGAUUUAUUUAGUGUGUGUUGGAUUCUUUUCCAUCACAAAUUACCCAAGUAAUCUACCCGAAAUAAAUGUUUAUGGAUUAUGUUACAUGUUAUAUGAGAGUAGAUUUGGAAAAGAAAGCUGGCGUAGAAGUAGACAGUGCUAUGGAGAUGGAUGUAGGUACUUCGGGAAGAGGUUUGGUUCCGGAACCUUAUAUGGGGGAGAAAUAAUAGGUUAGGGUUUAGAGUUUUUAUAGGCCUUUUUUUUAAUAUUUUGAGCUUAAAGUUUGGCAACACAUUGGGUUAGCACAUUUUAACUUACAAAUUGGGUUUAGAAAAUAAUACCCAAAACAAAUAAUUAAAUAAAAAAUUUAAUUUAAUUAAUUCGGUUCGGUUCGGUUCGGUUUGGUUCGGUUUCUAGAUCACUAAAACUGAACCGAACCAAAAGAAUUCGGUUCGGUUCGGUUUUUUCAAUUCGGUUCGGUUUUUUUGUUCGGUUCGGUUUUUUCGGUUUCGGUUCGGUUUGGUUUUCGGUUUUUUUCGGUUUUCGGUUUUUUGAACCCACCCCUAAUUGUCACUGAUCGAGACUUAGCAAACUAAACUGAAAUAUAUUGAUUGCAAGGCAAGAGUACAAUUGUAAAAACAAGGUUUACUUUUUAAUGGAGGUUGUGUAGGAAAAAUUACAUUCAAAUUCAUUGCGGACCUCUUUUUUUUCUAAGACCAAAUCAAAGAAAAAAAUAAUUGAAUCAAUGAAUUACUAUAGCAGCUCCAUUUCUGACAAUGGCAAGAGGUCUCUGUGCUAAUCAAACUACCCCGAAAUUUUAUCCUAAAACUAUACUCGAGCUCCACCUUAUCUGCAAUCUCAAAUGCCUUCUCAAUAUCAUUUCAUGAUAAACCUGCUAUCCCUAUUUAUAAGAAAUUAAGCACAAGCUAGCUCAAGUUAUGGUCUUUAAUUAAUAUUAAUUUCGACAAAUCAGCUUCCCAUCUCUUUCAUUCAUAUGAACAUGGCGCAAUAUUUGUUUAAAUUAGCUGUUCGGGUUGAUUUCUUUGUAUAACUCUUCUGCCAAUUCUGCAACUUGUAGACGUAAUUCCCAUUUCAAAAUUUUAAAAAAUAAAAUAAAAUCCAAAACUAAUGUAAGAUAAAUAAAGACUUUUUUAUAUCAUAAAAUAAGACUUUCAAACUUGUAUACAAGACUAUAGUGACAAAAUCAAACACAUUGAUGGGUGCGCAUGUUCCUUCAACAUCUGUUAUGUGCGUUUAAACUGAGCGUCGAGUCUUUUUUAAGCACCUUUAAAAGUUUAACAAACUAACUAACUCCAAUAGCUGAUAUGGCACUUAUGAUGAUGUGUCAAUCACUAUAUAUCUUCAACAUCCCCCCGCAAUCUCAACUGGGAUUUUCCAGCUUGAGAUUGUAAAAAUGUUUGACAAAUGAAAGACUGUGAAGACCUUUGGUAAGAACAUCGGGAGUUUGCUCCUCAGUUGGGAUAUACAACACCUCCAAAUCGCCUUGCUGCACUCGUUCUCAGUUUAUAUCAAGGUGUUUAAUUCUGAAAUGAAACACCAGAUUGGCACUUAAGGCAAUAGCAGACAUAUUCUUACAGUGAAUCGUUGGUGGAGCAUCCAAAAAUACACCCAAAUCCUUCAAUAUAUUUCGAAUUCAAGCUAUAUGUGCCGCAGUAUGUGCUAAGGCUUUAUAUUCAGCCUCAGUAGAACUCCUGGAUACCGAGUUUUCUUUCUUCGAUUGCCAAGAAAUUGGAUUAUUGCCUACGUACACGACAUAACUAGUGAUAGACCGACGAGUAUUCAAGUAUGCAGCCCAAUCAGAAUCAGAAAACGCAGUAAGCUUUGAAACUGUGUUUGCAGAAAAAGUAAUACCAAUGUUCAUGGUUCCUUGAAGAUAACGAAUGAUUCGUUUAACAAUGCCAAAAUGAACAUCAGUUGGUGAGGACAUAAACUGACAUACUGUGUUUACAGCAAAGGCAAUAUCAGGCCUAGUAAAGGUUAGAUAUUGUAAAGAUCCCACAAUGCUUCUGUAGGAGGUUGGAUCUGUCAAUAAUUGUCCCUUAGAGUGUAACAUUUGAUGAUGAGGUUUACAAGGAGUGGUUGCUGGUUUACAUGAUUCCAUACCUGCUUUAUGGACGAGAUCUUUGAUACACUUAGACUGAUUAACAAAAACACUGCCAUCUGCUUUAUAUUGAACUUAUAAACGCAAAAAAUAUGUAAGUUGUCCCAUAUCCUUUAACUCGAAUACCUCAGAUAAUUAUUGAAUCACUUUUUGGAUCUUCAAGGAUUAUAACCAGUUAAGAUGAUAUCAUCAACAUAAAGUAAUAAGAUGAUGAUAUCAGAGCCAUCCUUCUUGACAAACAAACUUGUAUCAGAAGCUGAUGCAUGAAACUCCAUAACUGUCAAAUGACCAUAUACAUAAUAACUGUCAAAUAACUAUAUACAUAAUAACUCCAUAGAGUGAAGAUAGGAUAUUUAAACUCUUCUGUACUUAGAGAUAUGGUUGAUGUGGGAUAUUUCAAUACCUAUAUAUAUAUAUAUAUAUAUAUAUAUAUAGUAAAAACUACAUACAUAAUAAUACUACCAUAAUAGUUGUCACAAUCAAUUCAUCUCGCACGUCAUAUCAAAGAAAGUAAGUCAUUCAUAAAAUCAAAGUAAUAGAAUAUGAUUUUAUCAAUAUCGUAGAUGAUUCUUAUAAUCAUGUAUAUGCACGUUGGUGCGACUUAGAUUCCAAUGAUCUCUCUACUAAAUAUAUUUAUUUCAUAAACGCUAUAAUUUGUAUACAUAAUAAAUGAUUUGAUCAUAUUAAUUCUGCAUAGUCCCCUCAAGUUGGAUAGUAAAUGUCAUAAUUAAGGCUUUUUAGUCAAAAUGGAGUCCUUGAGAUUUGCCUAACUCAUUACCUUGGUCCCUGAGAUUCAAAAUCAAUAGAAGUGAUCCAUGAGAUAGUCCACCAUCAAUCAUUUUGGUCCUUCAGUGAAAAAUUGUGUUAAAUAAGAAUUAAAAUGACAAAAUUACCCUCAAUGUAAUAAACAAUAGGCCAACAUGAUUUGACAAAAAUUGAGGGUAUUUUUAAUAUUUUAUCCUUAUUUUAUGGAGAUUUUUCACUGAAUGAUGAAAAUGAUUGAUUGUGAACAAACCCAAGUACCAAUUCUAUCAAUUUCAAAUCUCAAGGACCAAAGCAAGGAGUUAUGCAAAUCUCAAUAACCAUUUUAACUAAAAAAUUAUUAUUCCUAAUUUCCUAAAGCCCUUGGGAAGGUAUCUGCCAAUUGUACCCGAGAAGAAGUGCAGCAAGGAAAAUUUUAUAAAGACAAUGGAUACAUGCCACUUCGCUGCAAAAAACGAUACUUAAAGGACAAUUUUCCCGAGUUUUUCACCGCCGUUUUUACCGUUUGCUGCAAAAAACAAAUACUCUCCCCUUGCGAGCUCCGUCGUCAAUUCCCUUCACGAACUUUGAGUCCCUCUGAAAAAAUGAUUACAUGAAAUUUGAAUUUUUCAAACUUUGUGUCUGGUUAUAUCUAACGAUCCCUAAUUCUAAAUUUAUGGUUUAGAUAUAUAAAAAAGAUAUCUCGGGUACUUCAUUGCUAUCCAUUAAGCUCCCCACUUUCAAGCAAAGCAAAAAAUUCUAAUUGAGUUGAGUUUUGAACAUGCUGAUUAGUUAGACAACUGAAUUACUAAUCUUUAUUAUUAUUGCAACAAACACACGGAUUACACUAAAAGCUAGUGAAUCAUACACUUGCAGAUGACUUAUCCAAACACAAAGAUAAGACAUGAUUUUAUUAUUAUUGCUAUAAACACACGAAUUACAACGAAAUUCAAAAACUAAAAACAAGGAAAAAAGUAGUGAUGAAAACCAAUGCCACUUCCGGGAACACGAUUGCAUUCGCACAUGCAACAAGCCUUUUAAACCCAUAGGUGACCCAAAUGGGACGAGUGAAGUCUCGUGAGGGUUUCCAGAGACGUUACCCACAAACAUCAUGCAUACGGAUCAUCAACAUCUGACUUGGGAGACUGAGUAGAUAUCCACCCCUCCAGCAUCAGGUUGUUUUUGGUUAAGGCGUAAUUCGAAUCUGUUUUCAAUGAACGGCCUGGUUAUGAGAUCGCUUUGCAAGUGACGUAAUCGGCAGCGCGUGAUUAGGUUGUUGCUGUCAGGUGGUCCGACAGGCUCGACCUUGAACAAUGUGCAAGCCCAAUUGUCUUUGGUUUCAUUUCGGUCAGCAGCUGCGGCCAGGACCAAUAGCUUGUUUUGGUCCACCCUUCUCAAGUAGUUGCCAUUGUAGGAGCAUUUGAUAUGCACGUAAUUCUUGUCGGCGUAGUCCUCAUUGUUUGGCUUCUCGGUGGUGAACUUUAUGAACCUGCUGUUUUCAUUGUCCUCGGAAAACUGGACAAUCUCAUUAAGGUCGCUUUCUGCAUCAAGUUGAUAGCGCAAAUACUUGUUGUUGAUAUCUGCUUUCAGCAGAAAAGGGCUUGGUAGUACAGGUGGAGCCAUAUCGUAUAGUGUAGUUGGGAUUGGGAUGCUCUCUCUUUUUAAUUCUCUGUUGAUGAUCUAAUUUGCUUGCUGUGAAUGUGAUGCUUAGUUUAAACCUGCUAUCCUAUUUAUAAGAAAUUAAGCACAAGCUAGCUCAAGUUAUGGUCUUUAAUUAAUAUUAAUUUCGACAAAUCAGUUUCCCAUCUCUUUCAUUGAUAUGAACAUGGCUGAUCUCAUUGGUGUGGCGCAAUAUUUGUUAAAUUAGCCGUUCGGGUUGAUUUCUUUGUACAACUCAUCUGCCAAUUCUACAACUUGUAGACCUAAUUCCCAGUACAAAAUUAAAAAAAAAUUAAAAUCCAAAACUAAUAUAAGAUAAAUAAAGACUUUUUAUAUCAUAAAAUAAGACUUUCUAACUUGUAUACAAGACUAUAGUGACAAGAUCAAACACAUUGAUGGGUGCGCAUUUUCCAUCAACAUCUGUUCUGUGUGUUUAAACUGACCGUGGAGUCUUUUUAGCAAUUAAAAGUUUUGUAUCAUGUAAUUGUCUUGGUUUGAUAAGACCUACAUCUAGAUGAGUUGCUUCUGAAGACUAAUGUAAAACUUUAUGUUGAUAUUUCUUGAGGGUGAAACAUCGUUUGAGAAACGUGUAGGGCCUCAUUACAAUGUUUUCAUUUAGUUUUUAACUUUUGGUUUAAAUAUUCUACUAUGAAUAAAUUUGUGGCUUUAAUAACUAGUAAAACCACUUUCAAAUAUCUUAGUAUCGGCUUUCAGAACAAAGGGGUUUGCUAGUACAGGUGGAGCCAUGUUGUAUAGUGUAGCUGGGAUUGGGAUGAUCUCUCUCUCUUUUUUGUUUUUUGUUUUUCCUUUAAUUUGCUUGCUUUGAAUGUGAUGCUCAGUUCAAACCUACUAUCCUAUUUCUAAGAAAUUAAGCACAAGCUAUCUCAAGUUAUGGACUUUAAUUAAUAUUAAUUUCCUCAAUCAGUUUCCCAUAUCUUUCAUUGAUACGAACAUGGCUGAUCUCAUUGGUGUGACGCAAGAUUUGUUAAAAUAGCGAUCGGAUUGAUUUUUCUUUGUAUAACUCUUCUGCCAAUUCUGAACUUGUACAUAUAAUUCCCAUUAUAAAAUAAAUAAAUAAAAUUCAAAACUCAUAUAAAAUAAAUAGAGACUUUUUAUAGCAUAUAAAAUAAGACUUUGUAACUUGUACAUAGUUACUGAUAACAUUCAUCUAAGAACUAACAGAUGAAUGUAUGCAAGCAAUAUUGAAGAAAUACAGAGAGAAAGAUCGAAAGGAAUAGAGAGAGAAAUAGAGAAAGAAAUGAGUGAAAGCUUUGUUAUUUCAUAAGAACAAAAGAUCAUCACAAAAGAACCCUGAUUCCUUCUUAUAUAGUCUGCACAUGUAGCUUAUCAGCUAAGCCACCUGUGUAACUAAUUCUUAACAAACUAACUAACUCCAAUAGCUGAUAUGGCACUUAUGAUGAUGUGUCAAUCACUAUAUAUCUUCAACAUCCCCCCGCAAUCUCAACUGGGAUUUUCUAGCUUGAGAUUGUAAAAAUGUUAGACAAAUGAAGGACUGUGAAGACCUUUGGUAAGAACAUCGGCAGUUUGCUCCUCAGUUGGGAUAUACAACACCUCCAAAUCGCCUUCAUGCACUCGUUCUCGUACAAAAUGGUAGUAUGUAUUAAGGUGUUUAAUUCUUGAAUGAAACACCAGAUUAGCACUUAAGGCAAUAGCGGACAUAUUGUCACAGUGAAUCGUUGGUGGAGCAUCCAAAAAUACACUCAAAUCCUUCAAUAUAUUUCGAAUCCAAGCUAUAUCUGCGGCAGUAUGUGCUAAGGCUUUAUAUUCAGCCUCAGUAGAACUCCUGGAUACCGAGUUUUGUUUCUUCGAUUGCCAAGAAAUUGGAUUACUACCCAAGUACACGACAUAACCAGUGAUAGACUGACGAGUAUUCAAGUCUGUAGCCCAAUAAGAAUCAGAAAACGCAGUAAGCUUUGAAACUGUGUUUGCAGAAAAAGCAAUACCAAUGUUCAUGGUUUCUUGAAGAUAACGAAUGAUUCAUUUAACAACGCCAAAAUGAACAUCAGUUGGUGAGGACAUAAACUGACAUACUGUGUUUACAGCAAAGGCAAUAUCAGGCCUAGUAAAGGUCAGAUAUUGUAAAGAUCCCACAAUACUUAUGUAAAAGGUUGGAUCUGUCAAUAAUUGUCCCUCAGAGUGUAACAUUUGAUAAUGAGGUUUACAAGGUGUGGUUGCUGGUUUACAUGAUUCCAUACCUGCUUUAUGGACGAGAUCUUUGAUAUACUUAGACUGAUUAACAAAAACACUGCCAUUUGCUUUAUAUUGAACUUGUAAACCCAAAAAAUAUGUAAGUUGUCCCAUAUCCUUUAACUCGAAUACCUCAGAUAAUUAUUGAAUCACUUUUUGGAUCUUCAAAGGAUUAGAACCAGUUAAGAUGAUAUCAUGAACAUAAAGUAAUAAGAUAAUGAUAUCAGAGUCAUCCUUCUUGACAAACAAACUUGUAUCAGAAGUUGAUGCAUGAAACUCCAUAACUGUCAAAUAACUUGUAAACUUCGAAUUCCACACUCGUGGAGCCUGUUUCAAGCCAUAUAAUGACUUGACCAAUUUGCAAACAUGAGAAAGAUAUGAUGUAUCAAUAAACCCUUAUGGUUCCUGCAUAUAAACUUCUUUUUGUAAAUCCCCGUGUAGAAAAGCGUUCUUGAUAUCUAAUUGGCGAAGAGGCCAAUGAUUCAUUGCAGCUAAAGAAAGAAUAAUCCUUACAGUAGUAUGUCCGACAACAGGACUAAAUGUGUCCAAGUAGUCAAUACCAUGUUCUUGGGAGAACCCUUGAGCUACAAGCCUUGCUUUAUACCUGGAGACACUGCCAUCAGAGUUUUUCUUCACUUUUUGUUCUGUCUUCAGGUGCAGGAACCAAUAGCCAAGUUCCUUGUGCUCGAAGUGAAUCAUAUUUCUCCUGCAUUGCCUUUUGCCACUGUGAAAUAGUAGGAGCUUUCCGAAAUGUCUUAGGUUCUGAAGCAUCAGUGAUCUCAGAAAGAAAGGAAUAGCCACCCGUGAAAGGUUCUUCAUCAGUGAUUUGGAGACAACAAAGCUCAGGACAUUGUGCUACUAAAGCAGCAUAAUUUUGUCCCUCAAUUGUUCCACUCUUCAAUCUAGGGACCAUUGAGUGAGUCAAUGGUGUAGUAUGUAAAAUGAGAUCAAAUAGAGAUAAAUCAGGAAGGAUUACCUUAAGUUGUGACUUAGAGUGGACAAGCAACAAGGAUUGUGUACCAGAGUGAUGAUGUGUAGGAGAGUGAUGAUGUGAAGAGUUUGGAGAUGCAUAUAGAAGAUUGGUUUCAGUCGAAUUUGUAUCUUGAUCACUAGGUUGAAUCACUUGUGUAUUGUCCGAACUAGAAACAUUCAAUUAACCAACCACAUAUAUACUUUCACAAUUUGCAGGAAUACUGUGAUGUGAACCAGUAUCAUUUGCUGAUAUAUGUAUAGAACUAGCUGCUUGUGAAUCAUGCUGUAUUUAUGUAUGAGGCAGGACUCUUGCACUUGGAACUUGUAACUGAAUCAAAACAGGUGUCUGAGAACACCUAUAUGUAGCUGUAGAAUCCUUAGAUGGCAAAACUUGUUUAAACGGAUAUACAUCUUCAUCAUGUAGUACAUGCCUUGACAGAAUGAACUUUCUAGUCUUGAUAUCAUAACAAAUAACUCCUUUAUAUCCAUGAGCAAAACCAAGAAAUACACAUUGAGCUGACCGUAGCUCCAAUUUAUUCUUAUUGAAUGAUCUUAUCAAGAUAGAGCAGCCAUAAGAAACUCUUAACUUUGGAGGAAUAUGAAGUUUCCAAAUGAGAUUCCAUCGCCGGAAAAGCACAAGGCCUAAUGGCCCAAAAGUAAGCAGAUUUAACUGAAAAAUUACCAUCAUUUAUUCCACUUCAGAUACACUUGGCAGUCAAAGCAUCAAAACUAAUUGGAAUGCUAAGAAUUUGUUCAACCACCUCUUUAGUAAAACAAGUAAUAGUGGAUCCAAACCAUUAUUGUAACAAUAGUUAGCUACAGUAGCCUUAUAUGUAUUGUCGGCGUUACCACACAAUCCCGAUAUACGUCCAGGAUCGACAUGUGAUCUCAUCAAAUACUCAUAUCUCUAACUUACCCCACCUCCGGAAUAUGGCAAAGUGAUGAGUCAAUAUUUACCAUAUAUUUUACCCUAAUCUUAGUAUUAAUUUAUUAAUUAUUUUGGUAGAAUUUUGAUACUUUGUUAUAUAUUUCUAACAUAGGACAUUCGACUUCAUCUGGAGAAAAAAGUAACCAAACGGAUGAUUUUUGGAGUGAUUCCAAUUGGAGGAUGUUUGUGAGUCUUUCGAGAUGAUUAUAUCAAAAUUCCAAAUUUUUCUACCUAGCCGUUUGACCGUGGCAAUGAAAUUAAGGCCCUGCGCGCAGCUUUCUCAGAUUGACAUUUCAGGACAUUUCGGGACAUUUUUUCAAUUCGGUUCGGUUUUUUUGUUCGGUUCGGUUUUUUCGGUUUCGGUUCGGUUUGGUUUUCGGUUUUUUUCGGUUUUCGGUUUUUUGAACCCACCCCUAAUUGUCACUGAUCGAGACUUAGCAAACUAAACUGAAAUAUAUUGAUUGCAAGGCAAGAGUACAAUUGUAAAAACAAGGUUUACUUUUUAAUGGAGGUUGUGUAGGAAAAAUUACAUUCAAAUUCAUUGCGGACCUCUUUUUUUUCUAAGACCAAAUCAAAGAAAAAAAUAAUUGAAUCAAUGAAUUACUAUAGCAGCUCCAUUUCUGACAAUGGCAAGAGGUCUCUGUGCUAAUCAAACUACCCGAAAUUUAUCCUAAAACUAUACUCGAGCUCCACCUUAUCUGCAAUCUCAAAUGCCUUCUCAAUAUCAUUUCAUGAUAAACCUGCUAUCCUAUUUAUAAGAAAUUAAGCACAAGCUAGCUCAAGUUAUGGUCUUUAAUUAAUAUUAAUUUCGACAAAUCAGCUUCCCAUCUCUUUCAUUCAUAUGAACAUGGCGCAAUAUUUGUUAAAUUAGCUGUUCGGGUUGAUUUCUUUGUAUAACUCUUCUGCCAAUUCUGCAACUUGUAGACGUAAUUCCCAUUUCAAAAUUUUAAAAAAUAAAAUAAAAUCCAAAACUAAUGUAAGAUAAAUAAAGACUUUUUAUAUCAUAAAAUAAGACUUUCAAACUUGUAUACAAGACUAUAGUGACAAAAUCAAACACAUUGAUGGGUGCGCAUGUUCCUUCAACAUCUGUUAUGUGCGUUUAAACUGAGCGUCGAGUCUUUUUUAGCAAUUAAAAGUUUUGUAUCAUGUAAUUGUCUUGGUUUGAUAAGACCUACAUCUGGAUAAGUUGCUUCUGAAGACUAAUGUAAAACUUUAUGUUGAUAAUUCUUGAGGGUGAAACAUCGUUUGAGAAAUGUUUUGGACCUCAUUACAAUUUUUUCAUUUAUUUUUUAACUUUUGGUUUAAAUAUUCUACUACAAAUACAUUUGUGGCUUCAAUAACUACUAAAACCACUUUCAAAUAUCUUAGUAUUGGCUUUCAGAACAAAGGGGUUUGGUAGUACAGGUUGAGCCAUGUUGUAUAGUGUAGCUGGGAUUGGGACGAUCUCUCUCUUUAUUUAUUUAUUUUUUUCCUUUAAUUUGCUUGCUUUGAAUGUGAUGCUCAGUUCAAACCUACUAUCCUAUUUCUAAGAAAUUAAGCACAAGCUAUCUCAAGUUAUGGUCUUUAAUUAAUAUUAAUUUCCUCAAUCAGUUUCCCAUUUCUUUCAUUGAUACGAACAUGGCUGAUCUCAUUGGUGUGACGCAAGAUUUGUUAAAAUAGCUGAUCGGAUUGAUUUUUUCUUUGUACCCGAGAAGAAAUGCAGGAAGGAGGAAUUUAUAAAGACAACGGAUACCUGCUCUUCGCUGCAAAAAACGACACUUAAAAGGACAAUUUUCCCGAGGUUUUCACCGCUGUUUUUACCGUUUGCUGCCAAAAACAAAUACUCUCCCCUUGCGAGCUCCGUUGUCAAUUCCCCUCGCGAACUUUGAGUCCCUCUGAAAAAAUGAUUAAGUGAAAUUUGAAUUUUUCAAACUUUGUGUUUGGUUAUAUCUAACAAUCCCUAAUUCCAAAUUUAUGGUUUAGAUAUAUAAAAAAGAUAUCUCGGGUACUUCAUUGCUAUCCAUUAAGCUCCCCACUUUCAAACAAAGCAGAAAAUUCUAAUUGAGUUGGGUUUUGAACAUGCAGAUUAGUUAGACAACUGAAUUACCAAUCCUUAUUAUUAUUGCAACAAACACACGGAUUACACUAAAAGCUAGUGAAUCAUACACUUGCAGAUGACUUAUCCAAACACAAAGAUAAGACAUGAGUUUAUUGUUAAAUUGUGGCCAAGUGGCCAUCACCUUUUGUAUUAAACAAAUAAAAAGAAAAAAAAAAGGGAGACAUCAUGAUGUUGUUUCUUACUUUGUGAUAAUGACAAAUGAUGAUGUUGGAGAAUUAUUUUUUAUUUGGCCCAUGUGGGAAGUCACGGGGUGACUUGAAGGAUUUAUUUAGCAGCAAUUGCUGCUUGUGUGGUUAAGAGAAGAAAACAGAGAGCAGAAGAAAAAGGAAAGAGAGCUGCCGAGAGCAAGAGAGUUGCAGAGAGCCCAAACAGAAAAAGAAGCUGCUGCUUCAUUUGAUUAGUAAUCAUCAACCAAAGUAGUUGUUGUUGUAAUAGUUUUGAGCUAUAUGUAUAGAGAAGAAAUUAUUCAUUAUAUUUCUUUCUCUAUUUGUUUCUUUGGUGUGUGAGAGUUAUUGGGUGUAUUGGGCUUUUGGGUUGUGAGAUUGUCAACACUUUGUAAACUCCCAUUUGGUUGAUAGUGGAUUAUUGGGUGAGCUCCUACUGCUCCGAGGACGUACUCCAGUUACACUGACUGUUGAGGAACCUCGUUAAAAUCUUGGUGUUCUUUUAUAUUUUGUUCUUGCAUUUUCAUUUGAUAAAUUUCCUGUGGGUUAGCUUGAGUUGGUUCCAACGGGUUUGGUGCUAUCCUAGCACAACAAUUGGUAUCAGAGCACUGGUUGCUCUUGGGUACUGUCUAGUUGCCAAAGAUGUCAGACGGGCAAGAUGAGAAUCCUUUUGGAAGCACCUCCGGGUUUGCAAGAACUACGGUGCAAAAUGCAAAGUUCGAAGUGGAAAAGUUUGAUGGCACAAACAACUUCGGGAUGUGGCAAUGUGAGGUCAAAGAUGUGUUGGCUCAACAAGAUCUACUUGCCGCUUUGGGAGAGAAGCCGGAAGCUAUGUCGAAGCCGGAAUGGGAGAAAUUAAAUUUGUGGGCUUGCUCUUCAAUUCGGUUGUGCCUUGCAAAAACUCAGAAGUAUUUUUUGUGAUGCGGGAGACAUUGGCAAGUGUGUGUGGCAAAAAUUGGAAGACAAGUAUAUGACGAAGAGUGCAGAGAACCGGCUACACUUGAAGAAAAAACUCUACCGCUUCCAAUACAAAGAAGGUACAAAAAUGAUUAGACACCUUGAUGCUUUUAAUAAGUUGAUUGCCGACUUGUUAAAUUUAGAUGAGGAUAUUAAGGAUGAAGAUAAGGCCUUAAUAUUGUUGAAUUCCUUGCCGGACUCUUAUGAGCAUUUUGUUACCACUAUUAUGCAUGGUAAAAAAACUGUGAAAUUUGAAGAUGUGUCAAAUGCCUUGAUGAAUUAUGAAAUGAGGCAUAGAGAUAAAAAUCAUGAUAGUACCUCUGAAGCUUUAUUUGUUAGAGGUAGAUCAUCGGAGAGGAGGUCAUCUUCUAGCAGGAAAAAAUCACAAUCUCGACCUAGAGGAAACUCUAAAGGUAGAAAACCUUUGGAAAGGGAUGAAUGUGCCUUUUGUCGUAAUAAGGGCCAUUGGAAGAAAGAUUGUCCUAAAUUGAAGAACAAAGGCAAAGAAAGUUCUGAAGCUAAUGUUGCUGAGGUUGAAACAGAUUUUUCUGAUUUUGCUUUAACCACUUCCUCAUCAUUUGAUUGUGCUACUAAGUGGGUGUUGGAUACGGGUUGUACUCAUCAUAUGACUCCUCACAAGGAUUGGUUUUCAAGCUUGAAAGAGUUUGAUGGUGGCGUUGUGUUCAUGGGAGAUGACAAUCCUUGCACAACAAAAGGGAUUGGUACAGUUCGUUUGAAGUUGCAUGAUGGCAUGGUUAAAGAGUUGACAGGUGUUCGGUAUGUACCGAAUUUGAAGAAAAAUCUUAUUUCUUUGGGUACUUUGGAAUCCAAGGGUUUCAGGUUUCAUUCAGAUGGACAGACAUUGAAAGUUACUUAUGGUGCACAUGUUGUGAUGAAAGCUCCUAGAUGUGGCCAUUUGUAUUUAUUGCAGGGAAGCACUGUGACAGGUGAAGCAUCUGUAGUCUCUGAAAAUAUGGGCACAUCUGAUUCAGAUACUACUAGAUUGUGGCAUAUGAGAUUAGGCCGUACCGGUGAGAAAGCUCUACAAGGGCUUGUGAAACAAGGUCUUCUAAAAGGUGCCAUGACUUGUAAGCUUGAUUUCUGUGAGCAUUGUGUCUUGGGGAAGCAAACUAGAGUGAAGUUUGGUACUGCUGUACAUCAGACGAAGGGCAUUCUUGAUUAUGUGCAUUCGGAUGUUUGGGGUCCUACAAAGACUCCCUCUUUGAGUGGUAGACAUUGGUUCGUGACCUUUGUUGAUGAUUAUUCAAGAAGGUCUUGGGUCUACACUAUGAAGCACAAGAGUGAGCUGUUAAGCAUUUUCUUGGGUUGGAAGAAAAUGGUUGAGAACCAGACUGGGAGAAAGAUUAAGAUUUUGAGAUCGGAUAAUGGUGGUGAAUACACAUCCGAUCCUUUCUUUAAAGUUUGCAAAGAGGAAGGAAUUGUGAGACAUUUCAGUGUUCGGGGAACUCCACAACAAAAUGGAGUUGCAGAAAGAUUGAAUCGAACCUUGCUUGAGAAGGUUAGAUGUAUGUUGUCUCAGUCGGGUUUAAGCAAGUCAUUUUGGGCAGAGGCAGUUAAUUAUGCAUGUCACAUCUCAACCGGUUACCCUCAGCUGCUGUUCAGGGUAAGACACCAAUGGAGGUAUGGACUGGAAAACCUUCUUCUGAUUAUGACUAUAUCCGUAUUUUUGGUUCACCUGCUUAUUUUCAUGUAACUGAAAAUAAACUUGAUCCAAGAGCCAAAAAGGCUAUCUUUCUUGGUUUUAGUAGUGGUGUCAAAGGUUACAGGUUGUGGUGUCCAGAGAUGAAAAAACUUGUAAUCAGCAGAGAUGUGACAUUUGAUGAAGAAAGUAUGUACAAAGUCUCUGAGAAGAAUGUGAAAGAUGUCCAACAGGUGGAGCUUGAGAAAGUUGCCUCUGAUACUUCAAAUCCUAUUUCCGCUGAUGUCGAAGCCACUACAAGUGAAGAAGUUGGAGACCAUGAGAAUGUUGAAGAAGUUGAACUUGAAGAUUCUAUUCAAGUUGAAGAGCAAGUUUCACCUCAAGAGUCUAUUGCUAAGAACAGAGGAAAAAGACAAAUUACCAAGCCAGCUCGGUACAGUGACUAUGUUGCUUUUGCUCUUCCUAUUAUCACUGAUGAGAUUCCAUCCAAUUUUGAGGAAGCUAUUGAGAGUGAGGAGAAGAAAAGGUGGUGCAAUGCCAUGGGUGAUGAAAUGAAUUCUCUCUUGAAGAACAAGACUUGGGAGUUAGCUAAAUUGCCUAAGGGCAAGAAAGCUAUCGGUUGCAAAUGGGUGUAUGCCAAGAAGGAAGAUGCUGAUGAGAAAAGCAAUGUGAGAUUUAAAGCAAGAUUAGUUGCUAAAGGGUAUGCACAAAAGGAGGGCAUUGACUACAAUGAAAUAUUUUCUCCAGUUGUGAAGCGCUCCUCAAUUCGUAUUAUGUUAGCUCUUGUUGCACAAUAUGAUCUUGAGCUUGUGCAACUUGAUGUGAAGACGGCUUUCCUACAUGGUGAUUUGAAUGAAGAGAUCUAUAUGUGUCAACCGGAUGGGUAUUGUGAAAGGGAAGGAAAAUUUGUUUUGCAAAUUGAAGAAAUCGCUUUAUGGCUUGAAGCAAUCUCCAAGGCAAUGGUAUUUGAGGUUUGAUAAAUUUAUGAGAGGCCAAAAUUAUUCUAGAAGUCAAUAUGAUCAUUGUGUGUACUUCAAGAAGUUGCAAGAUGGGUCUUUCAUUUAUUUAUUGAUAUAUGUUGAUGAUAUGUUGAUUGCCUCAAAGAAUGUUGAGGAGAUUGAGAAAUUGAAGAAACAAAUGAAGAAUGAGUUUGAGAUGAAGGAUCUUGGUGAAGCAAAUCCUUGGCAUGGAGAUCACUAGAGAUAGAGAGAAGGGUUUGGUCAGUUUGAAUCAAAGACAAUACCUUGAGAAGUUGAUUCGGAAGUUUGGAGUUCAUGAUUCAACCAAACCGGUUAGUACCCCUUUGGCUCCUCAUUUUAAAUUGAGUUCUCUACAGUGUCCUAAAACUGAUAAAGAGAAGCUGCAAAUGAAAAAUAUACCAUAUGCAAAUUUGGUUGGUAGUUUGAUGUAUGCAAUGGUAUGCUCUAGACCGGAUAUUGCUCAUGCAGUUGGCAUGGUGAGUCGAUAUAUGCAUAAUCCAGGUAAAGAGCACUGGCAAGCAGCUAAGUGGAUAUUGAGAUAUCUCCAUGGUACUCGAGAUGUUGGUUUAUGCUUUGAGAGAGAUGACUCUGGUAUUGGUCAUUUUGCAGUUGGUUAUGUUGAUUCAGAUUAUGCAGGUGAUCUGGAUGGAAGGAAGUCUACUACAGGCUAUGUGUUUACUAUGGCUAAAGGACCAGUUUGUUGGAGGUCCAUUUUGCAGUCGUCUGUUGCCUUGUCUACUACAGAGGCUGAAUAUAUGGCAGUUGCUGAAGCUAUAAAGGAGGCCAUUUGGAUACAUGGGCUGAUUAGAGAUUUGGGGGUUGAUCAGAAGCAGGUGGAGGUACAUUGUGAUAGUCAGAGUGCCAUUUAUUUGGCUAAGUAUCAGGUUCAUCAUGCGAGGACCAAGCACAUAGAUGUGCGUUAUCACUUUGUUCGUGAAAUUGUUGGUGAAGGGGAAAUCAUUCUCCAGAAGAUUCCAACUAAAGACAACCCCGCUGAUAUGUUGACUAAGGUUGUUGGUGUAGCCAAGUUUGUUCACUGUUUGAACUUGGCUCACAUUAUGCCUAUAUAAAGAAGGCGUUGAGCAGUAGGAGUUUUGGAGCAUUUGGCUCGGCAUGAGUUGUUCUCUUGCUAGUGUUCGGGAGUGAUGUUGUGUGCUAAUUGUGUUGGUUGGCUUAUCAUGGCGUUUUCGGAACUUGGCCAAGGUGGAGAUUGUUAAAUUGUGGCCAAGUGGCCAUCACCUUUUGUAUUAAACAAAUAAAAAGAAAAAAAAAAGGGGAGACAUCAUGAUGUUGUUUCUUACUUUGUGAUGAUGACAAAUGAUGAUGUUGGAGAAUUAUUUUUUCUUUGGCCCAUGUGGGAAGUCACGGGGUGACUUGAAGGAUUUAUUUAGCAGCAAUUGCUGCUUGUGUGGUUAAGAGAAGAAAACAGAGAGCAGAAGAAAAAGGAAAGAGAGCUGCCGAGAGCAAGAGAGUUGCAGAGAGCCCAAACAGAAAAAGAAGCUGCUGCUUCAUUUGAUUAGUAAUCAUCAACCAAAGUAGUUGUUGUUGUAAUAGCUUUGAGCUAUAUGUAUAGAGAAUAAAUUAUUCAUUAUAUUUCUUUCUCUAUUUGUUUCUUUGGUGUGUGAGAGUUAUUGGGUGUAUUGGGCUUUUGGGUUGUGAGAUUGUCAACACUUUGUAAACUCCCAUUUGGUUGAUAGUGGAUUAUUGGGUGAGCUCCUACUGCUCCGAGGACGUACUCCAGUUACACUGACUGUUGAGGAACCUCGUUAAAAUCUUGGUGUUCUUUUAUAUUUUGUUCUUGCAUUUUCAUUUGAUAAAAUUUCCUGUGGGUUAGCUUGAGUUGGUUCCAACGGGUUUGGUGCUAUCCUAGCACAACAUUUAUUAUUAUUGCUAUAAACACACGGAUUACAGCGAAAUUCAAAAACUAAAAAUAAGGAAAAAAGUAGUGAUGAAAACCAAUGCCACUUUCGCGGGAACACGAUUGAAUUCGCACAUGCAACAAGCCUUUUAAACCCAUAGGUGACCCAAAUGGGACGAGUGAAGUCUCGUGAGGGUUUCCAGAGACGUUACCCACAAACAUCAUGCAUACUGAUCAUCAACAUCUGCCUUGGGAGACUGAGUAGAUAUCCACCCCUCCAGCAUCAGGUUGUUUUUGGUUGAGGCGUAAUUCGAAUCUGUUUUCAAUGAACGGCCUGGUUAUGAGAUCACUUUGCAAGUGACGUAAUCGGCAGCGCGUGAUUAGGUUGUUGCUGUCAGGUGGUCCGACAGGCUCGACCUUGAACAAUGUGCAAGCCCAAUUGUCUUUGGUUUCAUUUCGGUCAGCAGCUGCGGCCAGGACCAACAGCCUGUUUUGGUCCACCCUUCUCAAGUAGUUACCAUUGUAGGAGCAUUUGAUAUGCACGUAAUUCUUGUCAGCGUAGUCCUCAUUGUUUGGCUUCUCGGUGGUGAACUUUAUGAACCUGCUGUUUUCAUUGUCCUCGGAAAACUGGACAAUCUCAUUAAGGUCGCUUUCUGCAUCAAGUUGAUAGCGCAAAUACUUGUUGUUGAUAUCUGCUUUCAGCAAAAAAGGGCUUGGUAGUACAGGUGGAGCCAUAUCGUAUAGUGUAGUUGGGAUUGGGAUGCUCUCUCUUUUUUAUUCUCUGUUGAUGAUCUAAUUUGCUUGCUGUGAAUGUGAUGCUUAGUUCAAACCUGCUAUCCUAUUUAUAAGAAAUUAAGCACAAGCUAACUCAAGUUAUGGUCUUUAAUUAAUAUUAAUUUCGACAAAUCAGUUUCCCAUCUCUUUCAUUGAUAUGAACAUGGCUGAUCUCAUUGGUGUGGCGCAAUAUUUGUUAAAUUAGCCGUUCGGGUUGAUUUCUUUGUAUAACUCAUCUGCCAAUUCUACAACUUGUAGACUUACUUCCCAUUACAAAAUAAAAAAUAAAAUAAAAUCCGAAACUAAUGUAAGAUAAAUAAAGACUUUUUAUGUCAUAAAAUAAGACUUUCUAACUUGUAUACACGACUAUAGUGACAAGAUCAAACACAUUGAUGGGUGCGCAUUUUCCAUCAACAUCUGUUCUGUGCGUUUAAACUGAGCGUGAAGUCUUUUUUAGCAAUUAAAAGUUUUGUAUGAUGUAAUUGUCUUGGUUUGAUAAGACCUACAUCUAGAUGAGUUGCUUCUGAAGACUAAUGUAAAACUUUAUGUUGAUAUUUCUUGAGGGUGAAACAUCGUUUGAGAAACGUUUUGGGCCUCAUUACAAUUUUUUCAUUUAUUUUUUAACUUUUGGUUUAAAUAUUCUACAAUAAAUACAUUUGUGGCUUUAAUAACUAGUAAAACCACUUUCAAAUAUCUUAGUAUCGGCUUCAGAACAAAGGGGUUUGGUAGUACAGGUGGAGCCAUGUUGUAUAGUGUAGCUGGGAUUGGGAUGAUCUCUCUCUUUAUUUAUUUAUUUAUUUUCUUUAAUUUGCUCGCUUUCAAUGUGAUGCUCAGUUCAAACCUACCAUCCUAUUUCUAAGAAAUUAAGCACAAGCUAUCUCAAGUUAUGGUCUUUAAUUAAUAUUAAUUUCCUCAAUCUGUUUCCCAUAUCUUUCAUUGAUACGAACAUGGCUGAUCUCAUUGGUGUGACGCAAGAUUUGUUAAAAUAGCUGAUCGGAUUGAUUUUUUCUUUGUAUAACUCUUCUGCCAAUUCUGAAAUUGUACAUAUAAUUCCCAUUAUAAAAUAAAUAAAUAAAAUCCAAAACUCAUAUAAAAUAAAUAGAGACUUUUGAUAGCAUAUAAAAUAAGACUUUGAAACUUGUACAUAGUUACGGAUAACAUUCAUCUAAGAAUUAACAGAUGAAUGUAUGCAAGCAAUAUCGAAGAAAUACAGAGAGAAAGAUCGAAAGGAAUAGAGAGAGAAAUAGAGAAAGAAAUGAGUGAAAGCUUUGUUAUUUCAUAAGAACAAAAGAUCAUCACAAAAGAACCCUGAUUCCUUCUUAUAUAGUCUGCACAUGUAGCUUAUCAGCUAAGCGUGUAACUAAUUCUUAACAAACUAACUAACUCCAAUAUCUGAUAUUUCACUUAUGAUGAUGUGUCAAUCACUAUAUAUCUUCAACAUCCCCCACAAUCUCAACUGGGAUUUUCCAGCUUGAGAUUGUAAAAAUGUUUGACAAAUGAAGGACUGUGAAGACCUUUGGUAAGAACAUCGGCAGUUUGCUCCUCAGUUGGGAUAUACAACACCUCCAAAUCGCCUUGCUGCACUCGUUCUCAGUUUAUAUCAAGGUGUUUAAUUCUGAAAUGAAACACCAGAUUGGCACUUAAGGCAAUAGCGGACAUAUUCUUACAGUGAAUCGUUGGUGGAGCAUCCAAAAAUACACCCAAAUCCUUCAAUAUAUUUCGAAUUCAAGCUAUAUGUGCCGCAGUAUGUGCUAAGGCUUUAUAUUCAGCCUCAGUAGAACUCCUGGAUACCGAGUUUUCUUUCUUCGAUUGCCAAGAAAUUGGAUUAUUGCCUAAGUACACGACAUAACUAGUGAUAGACCGACGAGUAUUCAAGUAUGCAGCCCAAUCAGAAUCAGAAAACGCAGUAAGCUUUGAAACUGUGUUUACAGAAAAAGUAAUACCAAUGUUCAUGGUUCCUUGAAGAUAACGAAUGAUUCGUUUAACAACGCCAAAAUGAACAUCAGUUGGUGAGGACAUAAACUGACAUACUGUGUUUACAGCAAAGGCAAUAUCAGGCCUAGUAAAGGUUAGAUAUUGUAAAGAUCCCACAAUGCUUCUGUAGGAGGUUGGAUCUGUCAAUAAUUGUCCCUUAGAGUGUAACAUUUGAUGAUGAGGUUUACAAGGAGUGGUUGCUGGUUUACAUGAUUCCAUACCUGCUUUAUGGACGAGAUCUUUGAUAUACUUAGACUGAUUAACAAAAACACUGCCAUCUGCUUUAUAUUGAACUUGUAAACCCAAAAAAUAUGUAAGUUGUCCCAUAUCCUUUAACUCGAAUACCUCAGAUAAUUAUUGAAUCACUUUUUGGAUCUUCAAAGGAUUAUAACCAAUUAAGAUGAUAUCAUCAACAUAAAGUAAUAAGAUGAUGAUAUCAGAGUCAUCCUUCUUGACAAACAAACUUGUAUCAGAAGUUGAUGCAUGAAACUCCAUAACUGUCAAAUAACUUGUAAACUUCGAAUUCCACGCUCGUGGAGCUUGUUUCAAGCCAUAUAAUGACUUGACCAAUUUGCAAACAUGAGAAGGAUAUGAUAGAUCAAUAAACCCUUGUGGUUGCUGCAUAUAAACUUCUUCUUGUAAAUCUCCAUGUAGAAAAGCGUUAUUGAUAUCUAAUUGGUGAAGAGUCCAAUUAUUCAUUGCAGCUAAAGAAAGAAUAAUCCUUACAGUAGUAUGUCGGACAACAGGACUAAAUGUGUCCAAGUAGUUAAUACCAUGUUCUUGGGAGAACCCCUGAGCUACAAGCCUUGCUUUAUACCUGGAGACACUGCCAUCGGGGUUUUUCUUCACUUUGUAUACCCAUUUGCUUCCUACAAUUGUUCUAUCUUCAGGUGCAGGAACCAAUAGCCAAGUUCCUUGUGCUCGAAGUGAAUCAUAUUUCUCCUGCAUUGCCUUUUGCCACUGUGAAAUUGUAGGAGCUUUCCGAAAUGUCUUAGGUUCUGAAGCAUCAGUGAUCUCAGAAAGAAAGGAAUAGCCACUUGUGAAAGGUUCUUCAUCAAUGAUUUGGAGUGAACAAAGCUCAGGACAUUGUGUUACUAAAGCAGCAUAAUUUUGUCUCUCAAUUGUUCCACUCUUCAAUCUAGUGACCAUUGAGUGAGUCGAUGGUGCAGUAUGUAAAAUGAGAUCAGAUAGAGAUAAAUCAGCAAGGAUUACCUCAAGUUGUGACUCGGAGUGGACAGGCAACAAGGAUUGUGUACCAGAGUGAUGAUGUGUAGGAGAGUGAUGAUGUGAAGAGCUUGGAGAUGCAUAUAAAUGAGUGGUAUCAGUCGAAUUUGUAUCUUGAUCACUAGGUUGAAUCACCUGUGUAUUGUUCGAACUAGAAACAUUCAAUUAACCAACCACAUUUAUACUUUCACCAUUUGCAGGAAUACUGUGAUGCGAACCAGUAUCAUUUGCUAAUAUAUGUAUAGAACUAGCUGCUUGUGAAUCAUGCUGUAUUUAUGUAUGAGGCAGGACUCUUGCACUUGGAACUUGUAAUUGAAUCAAAACAUGUGUCUGAGAACACCUAUAUGUAACUGUAGAAUCCUUAGAUGGCAGAACUUGUUUAAACGGAUAAACAUCUUCAUCAUGUAGUACAUGCCUUGACAUAAUGAACUUUCUAGUCUUGAUAUCAUAGCUAAUAACUCCUUUAUAUCCAUGAGCAAAACGAAGAAAUACACAUUGAGCUGACCGUGGCUCCAAUUUGUUCUUAUUGAAUGGUCUCAAUAGAGGAUAUAUUGCAGUACCAAAGACUUUAAGAUGUUGUACUUCAGGAACACAACCAAACACAACUUGAUAGGGAGAUUUCAUCUUCAAAUUUCUAGAUGGCAUCGUAUUGAUUAAGAAUGCAACAUGAGAACAAGCAUGAUACCAGAAAGCUGAAGGUAAUUGAGCAUCUAAUAGCAAACUAAUAGCAGUCUCAACUAAAUGUCUAUGUUUUCGUGUAGCAAGACCAUUUUGCUGUGGUGUAUGAGAGCAUGAAACUGGUGUAUAAUUCCUUUUAUCUCUAACAACUGUCUAAACACAUUACUCAUAUAUUCACCUCCACCAUUUGAUUGAAGAACUUUAACGGAAGCAUUAAACUGAUUCUCAAUAAAUGUCAGAGACUUGGUAAAGAUUGGAAAAGCAUCGGAUUUAUUAACCAUCGGAAAAAUCCAUACAAAUCAAGAGCAGUCAUCUACAAAGCUUAUGUAAUACCUAUAACCCUCUAUUAACCUCUGCAGUGAAGGACCCCAUAUAUCUGAAUGUAUCCUUUCAAAUACAACUUUUGACCUAUCGGGACUUACAGAGAAAGGCAACUUAGUCAUUUUUCCUUGAAUACAAGCAGUACAUAUAGAUGGAGACAAAUCUAUACUGGCUAAUACUUCAGACUUAUUCAACAUUGUAGUAAGCACUUCUUCAGAUGGAUGACCCAACCUUUUAUGCCAAACUGUAGUCUUUAGCUUCUUUCCAACAAAAGUUGCACAUCUUUCAAUACUUGGUACUCUGGAUCUUGACAACACUGUUAUUGGUAUCUUGAAGAGCUCCCCAUCAUCACUCUGGCCUUGGUACACAAUCCUUCGAGUUGCUUUGUCCUGUAUCAAGAAGAUCAGAUCAUCACAUACAAACCAGCAAUUAUUAUCUCUGCAUAAGUUCUUAACAGACAACAAAUUCAUUGUAAUGUGUAGAACAUGUAGCACAUUUUGCAGAAUUAAUGACUUUUGUUGAGUGUUAAGGACAGAGGAACCAAUAUUUUUAACCACCAAACCUUCUUCAUUACCAACAGUGAUCAUGGCAUCACCAUUAUAAGGAGUGAUAUAAUUUAAAACUUCGACAUUUGAUGUCAUGUGGUGAGUUGCACCUAUGUCAACUACCUAUGUAUCAGCAGCUAAAAAACCAUGGACAUUUGAGUCUUCAGUUGCAACAUUUGAGCCUUGAGCAGCCAUCCCAACAAGAGAUGUAGGUGGUGCACUGCCUUGAUAUGAGAAGUUAUUCCUAUGAAAGCAUUCCAAAGCCCGAUGACCUAUUUUCCCACAUAUCUGACAUACCAAGAUCCCUCCAGAUGAUUGAUUGUUAUCAGCUCUAAGGUAACAAUUUGGUGUUGUAUGGUCUCUUCUAGAACAAAUUUGACAUUCAGGAGAUAUAACAUUGCUGUAAUUUGUAUCACCAUUCCAAGUGUUUCCUUGUUUGCUUCCAUUACCAGAGAAAGAACUUUGAGAACCUCCAUUUGAACAUCUUUCCCAUUAUUCCCAAAAGUAGAAUAUGGCCUGUAAUUAUUAUUCCCACCAUUAUAACCACCAGAGAAUUUUCGAUUGUUCAAAUUAUUCCCAUUAUACCUCCUAUUAUUGUUACCACCAUUGUAAUUAUUCCUCCCUUGAGACCUCUAUGCAUUUGAACUCUCCCCUUGUUCAUAACUUUGAGUAUUGCCCUGAGAUUCCUGUGUAUUCGAGCCAUUGCCCUGAACAUACAUGGCAGCCAUAGAACUUGAUAAAGUUGUCAGUCUAGACUCAAUACUGCUUUCAGCCCUAAUUAGUUGAGCUCGAAAAUCUUUCAUUGAAAUCGGAGUGUCUCUUGCUAAGAUUACUGUCUUGAUCAUUUCAAAUUAUGGAGGUAAACUAGUUAAAGCAAUGACCAAAUCAUUCUCAGUGAUUUUCUCCCCUGCAGCAACCAGUUGAUCCUUGAUAAUCUUCAAUCGAAGCAAAUACUUGUCAACAUAAUCCGCACCUUUCUGUGUAGUAUGAAACUCAGUCUUGAGUUGAUUAACCCUGACAACAGAUACAGACGCAUAUCAUUCCUGUAAAGAUUUCCAAGCUUCUUGAGAAGUUUUACACCCAAUGACAUAGCCCAUAGCUUCAUCUGAAAGUGUAGCAAUCAGCAAACUCAAUAGAGAGACAUCUGUUUUAACCCAAUCUUUAUAUGCAGUAGUAAUUUCUUUAGUGACCCCAGUCUCAGUAUUGAUGACAAACUUUGGAGGACAUUGAGACUCCCCACUAAAGAAAUCAAAGAAAUCGUACCCCUUAAGCACCGACUGAAACUGAUAAUCCCAUUUGACAAAAUUAUCUUCUUUCAACUUAGCAGUGAUCAUGCCCAAAAGACUUUCAAUUUUCACAGAACUAAACACCAUAUUGUUGAUAGAAACUGAAUCAAGAAAUCAAGUACUCAAACAAUCUUCAAGAAUUAUAACAACUCCAAGAACACACACUACUGAUUAUCGGCCUUGUUCGUGUGAAAAACCCAACAAACACUCAAACAACAGCAAUGGCUAUCGGCCUUUAUGCUUUGACAGAAAACGUUUCAACAAUCAUUCAAUUAGAAAAAUGGCUAUCGGCCUUCAAUAUCAUACUCCAAACAUCAAGAAAUGGCUAUCGGCCUUCAAUAUCAUACUCCAAACAUCAAGAACUUGCUAUCGCCCUUCAACUUUCAGUCUUUCACAAAAGAUUCAUCAUUGCGACAAUUACACAAACACUUAGAGUGCAAAAAGAAAAAUAACACCUAAAAAACUCAAAGUCUAACUUCCCAAACGCCAAAAGCUCAUUAACCCACUAUACCACUUCACAGCAAUCAAGAUAAUCUUUUGGCACAGCACAGCGGAAAUACACACCACGAGAUCGAACACUUGGCGAAGAUACCAUGAUAACAUUCAUCUAAGAACUAACAGAUGAAUGUAUGCAAGCAAUAUCGAAGAAAUGCAGAGAGAAAGAUCGAAAGGAAUAGAGAGAGAAAUAGAGAAAGAAAUGAGUGAAAGUUUUGUUAUUUCAUAAGAACAAAAGAUCAUUACAAAAGAACCCUAAUUCCUUCUUAUAUAGUCUGCACAUUUAGCUUAUCAGCUAAGCCACCUGUGUAACUAAUUCUUAACAAACUAACUAACUUCAAUAGCUGAUAUGGCACUUAUGAUGAUGUGUCAAUCACUAUAUAUCUUCAACAGUUACAAGAUCGAACACAUUGAUGGGUUAUAUAUUUGGGGCUCACUACAAUUUUUUUCACUUAAUUUAGGUUUUGGCUUAAAUAUACCAUUCAAACUAAAUGUGUGGCUCAAUAAUUGGUAGAAACCUUUCCAAAUGCUUUAUAAAUGUUCUCUUAAUGAUAACGGAGAAUAUUUUGGGAAGACAACUUAUUUGAAUUUCUCACGAAAAUGUGGGUGCUCAUUAAUUUUAGUCGGCUUGGCAAUUUUGUAUAAAAAUCAUCAUUAAAUAUAGUAGUUUUCACCUUUGCCUCACCGCUAUAUUUCUAAAAGUAAUGUAAGACUUUCAGCCUUUGUUCAUUAGUGAGGAUCUUAUCAAGAUAGAGCAGCCAUAAGAAACUCUUAACUUUGGAGGAAUAUGAAGUUUCCAAAUGAGAUUCCAUCGCCAAUUAGGUAAAGCACUAGGCCUAAUGGCCCAAAAAUAUGCAGAUUUAACUGAAAAAUUACCAUCAUUUAUUCCACUUCAGAUACACUUGGCAGUCAAAGCAUCAAAACUAAUUUGAAUGCUAAGAAUUUGUUCAACCACCUCUUUAGUAAAACAAGUAAUAGUGGAUCAUGUAUUUGUCUUGGUUUGAUAAGACCUACAUCUAGAUGAGUUGCUUCUUAAGACUAAUGUAAAACUUUAUGUUGAUAUUUCUUGAGGGUGAAACAUCGUUUGAGAAACGAUUUGGGCCUCAUUACAAUUUUUUCAUUUAGUUUUUAACUUUUGGUUUAAAUAUUCUACUAUAAAUACAUUUGUGGCUUUAAUAACUAGUAAAACCACUUUCAAAUAUCUUAGUAUCGGCUUUCAGAACAAAGGGGUUUGGUAGUACAGGAGCCAUGUUGUAUAGUGUAGCUGGGAUUGGGAUGAUCUCUCUCUCUUUUUUGUUUUUUUGUUUUCCUUUAGUUUGCUUGCUUUGAAUGUGAUGCUCAGUUCAAACCUACCAUCCUAUUUCUAAGAAAUUAAGCACAAGCUAUCUCAAGUUAUGGUCUUUAAUUAAUAUUAAUUUCCUCAAUCAGUUUCCCAUAUCUUUCAUUGAUACGAACAUGGCUGAUCUCAUUGGUGUGACGCAAGAUUUGUUAAAAUAGCUGAUCGGAUUGAUUUUUUCUUUGUAUAACUCUUCUGCCAAUUCUGAACUUGUACAUAUAAUUCCCAUUAUAAGAUAAAUAAAUAAAAUCCAAAACUCAUAUAAAAAAAAUAGAGACUUUUUAUAGCAUAUAAAAUAAGACUUUGUAACUUGUACAUAGUUACAAGAUCGAACAAAUUGAUGGAUUAUAUAUUUGGGGCUCACUACAACUUUUUUUCACUUAAUUUUAGGUUGUGGCUUAAAUAUACCAUUCAAACUAAAUGUGUGGCUCAUUAAUUGGUAGAAACCUUUCCAAAUGCUUUAUAAAUGUUCUCUUAAUGCUAACGGAGAAUAUUUUGGGAAGACAAAAUAUUUGCAUUUCUUACGAAAAUGUGGGUGCUCAUUAAUUUUAAUUGGUUUUGCAAUUUUGUAUAAAAUCAUCAUUAAAUAUAGUAGUUUUCAUCUUUGCCUCACCGCUAUAUUUCUAAAAGUAGUGUAAGAUUUUCAGCCUUUGUUCAUUAGUGAGGAUCUUAUCAAGAUAGAGCAGCCAUAAGAAACUCUUAACUUUGGAGGAAUAUGAAGUUUCCAAAUGAGAUUCCAUCGCCAAUUAGGAAAAGCACAAGGCCUAAUGGCCCAAAAAUAAGCAGAUUUAACUGAAAAAUUACCUUAAUUUAUUCCACUUCAGAUACACUUGGCAGUCAAAGCAUCAAAACUAACUAAUUGGAAUGCUAAGAAUUUGUUCAACCACCUCUUUAGUAAAACAAGUAAUAGUGGAUCCAAACCAUUAUUGUAACAAUAAUUAGCUACAGUAGCCUUAUACGUAUUGUCCGUGUCACCACCCGAUCCCGAUACACGUCCAGGAUCGACAUGUGAUGUCAUCAAAUACCCAUAUCUCUAACUUACCCCGCCUCCGGGAUAUGGCAAAGUGAUGAGUCAAUAUUUUACCAUAUAUUUUACCCUAAUCUUAGUAUUAAUUUAUUGGUUAUUUUGGUAGAAUUUUGAUACUUUGUUAUAUAUUUCUAAUAUAGGACAUUCGACUUCAUCUGGACAAAAAAGUAACCAAACGGAUGAAUUUUGGAGUGAUUCCAAUUGGAGGAUGUUCGUGAGUCUUUUGAAAUGAUUAUAUCAAAAUUCCAGAUUUUUCUACCAAGCCGUUUGACCAUGGCGAUUAAGUUAAGGCCCAGCGCGCAGUUUUCUCAUAUUGACAUUUCUGGACGUUUUUUGUAUUUUGAAGAUCAAUAUGUCAUAUUUUGAGGAAGCUUUCUUCUGAGGAUUUGUAUGGGACAUCUCCAGCUUUCAAAAGAGACCUUUUGGGACCAAAUCGGAGUUGAUUUGGGUGGUCAGAAGUCUGAUUUUCUGAGAACUCCAAAUUCUUGUUCAAAUAGGAAACCUUUUAUUUUCUGUUUUAUUAUUUUAGUAUGUUUCAUAGUUUUAUUCUAAGACCUUUUAGGGUUUUAUUUUGUAUUAGUAUAAAUAAGAUAUUUAGCCAUUAGGGGAAAAGAGGAGAGAAUAGGAGGAGAACGCACACAGUACUUGGAGGAUUCAAGUUUAUUUUCAAGGUGUUUUAUAUCCAUGUUCUUAAUAAUAUUUUGUUUUAUGGUUGUUAGUAACUAGUUUCGUUUGCUAGGGCGAGGCCACGAUCCUUAGCAAGAAUAUGUAGUUUCUUUUCAAUCUGCUUAUGAUAUUAUGCAUGCAAGUUUUGAAUUAUUAAUCAUUGUGCUUUAAACUAUCUAAUUGUGUUGAUGAUUGGCCGCCAUUAGGAUAUUUAGAAAAGUAAUUUGAUGCAAUUUUGGCGGAGGGCUGUCCCUGGAAUUGGCGCUGGCUUCUUGUGGUUAAUAUGUGUAACUUCUUAGGAUGGACGACAUGUCUUAAGGGUUAUAUGGUUUUUCAAAAGGAUUUCACAAAACUUUAUGAGUUUUACAUGUUCACGUUUGAUCUGGACACCACAGAUGGGUUGCACGUUAAAUAUAGAUUCUAUGUUGGAGGUUCCAAGUAGGGCAUACUUUAGGAAAACCUAAUUAACCAUCAAAAUAUGCAUGUGUAUUUCAUAAGUAAUUGGAAGAACUAUAUAGGAUUGUUAAGGUGAUGGUGAAACCCUAGUGCUUAACUUUUUUCUUUGGUUUUCUUUACUUUCCCAAUUUAUAGUGGAUCCAAACCAUUAUUGUAACAAUACUUAGCUACAGUAGCCUUAAGUGUAUUAUCGGUGUCACGCACCGAUCCCGACAUACGUCUAGGAUCGACACGUGAUGUCACCAAAUACCCAUAUCUCCAACUUACUCUGCCUCUGGGAUAUGGCAAAGUGAUGAGUCAAUAUUUUACCAUAUAUUUUACCCUAAUCUCAGUUUGUUGGUUAUUUUGGAAGAAUUUUGAUGCUUUGUUAUAUAUUUCUAAUGUAGGAUAUUCGACAUCCUCGGGGGAAAAAAAGUAACCAAACAGAUGAAUUCUGGAGUGAUUCCAAUUGGAGAAUGUUCGUGAGUCUUUCAAGAUGAUUGUAUCAAAAUUCCAGAUUUUACUAUCAAGCUGUUUGAUCGUGGCGAUGAAAUUAAGGCCCACCGCGUAGCUUUCCCAGAUUGACGUUUCUGGACGUUUUUGGUAUUUUGAAGGUCAAGAUGUUAUAUUUAGAGGAAGAUUCCUUCUGAGGAUUUGUAUGGGACGUCUCCAGCUUUCAAAAGAGACCUUUUGGGACAAAAUCGGAGUUGAUUUGGUUGGUCAAAAGUCUGAUUGUCUGAUAACUCCGAAUUCUAGUUCAAAUAGGAAACCUUUUAUUUUCUGUUUUAUUAUUUUAUUAUGUUUCCUAGUUUUAUUCUAAGACCUUUUAGGGUUUUAUUUUGUAUUAGUAUAAAUAAGAUGUUUAGCCAUCAGGGUAAAAGAGGAGGAGAGAAAAAGAGGAGAACGCACAUAGUACUUUGGAGGAUUCAAGUUUAUUUUCAAGGUGUUUUCUUUCCAUGUUCUUAAUAAUAUUUUGUUUUAUGGUUGUUAGUAACUAGUUUCGUUUGCUAGGGCGAGGCCACGAGCCUUAGUGAGAAUAUGUAGUUUCUUUUCAAUUUGCUUAUGAUAUAUAUUAUGCAUGCAAGUUUUGAAUUAUUAAUCACUAUGCUUUAAACUAUCUAAUUGUCUUGAUGAUUGGCCACCAUUAGGAUAUUUAAAAAGGUAAUUUGAUGCAAUUUUGGUGGCGGGAUGUCCCUGGAAUUGGUGCUGGCUUCUUGUGGUUAAUAUGUGUAACUUCUUAGGAUGGACAACACGUCUUAAGGGUUAUAUGGUUUUUCAGAAGGAUUUCACAAAACUUAAUGAGUCUUGCAUGUUCACAUUCGAUCUGGACACCACAGACGGGCUGCAUGUUAGAUAUACGUUUUAUGUUGGAGGUUCCAAGUAAGGCAUACUUUAGGAAAACCAAACCUUCAAAAUAUGCAUGUGUAAUUCAUAAGUAAUUGGAAGAACUACGUAGGAUUGUUAAGGUGACGGCGAAACCCUAGUGCUUAAAUUUAUUUUCAAAAACUAUUUUCUUUGCUUUUCUUUACUUUCCCAAUUUAUUUAAUUGUUUUUAGUUCAAUUGGUUUUUAAUAUUUUAGGCCAUAAAACCAACCUCUUCUAGACUUUAUUUUCAAAUAAUUAAUUAAGAUUUGGUUUUAACAUAAAUUAUGGCUUUUUUUAUUAGCACCUCCUAAAAUGUUGAAUGCACCCCACAUUAAAAUUUAAUAUUAAAUGACUUAUUUACCCCACUAUGCAAUGACAAUUUUGACCUUAUUAGGUUUUAAAAAAAUAAAAUAAAAAUCUCUAAAUACACCCCAAAUCACUAAACCCUAUUAUUUAUCUUCUCAACUAUCAAAACCCUCUUACCCUCCAUUGUUGAACAAAACCCUAACCAAUGAAACUACAAACAUCUUGAUUGAGAAAAAUUGCUUUUGACGAAUGGAACACAAAAUCAAUGUUUCGGAGCCUUCACAUGAGGUAAGACUAUGUUUCAUCGGUGGUUUGGUUAAUUUCAUAUUCCUUUUUUUUUUCUUCCAUUGGUUAUUCAUUUUCUUCUUUGCAGGUUACAAAUCCAGCCAGUGAUCCUCUUAGAGUAGAUUUGGUUAUAUCCCUUGAAAUGAACAUUGGAGAGCGACAAAAUAUUUUGGAGGUUGGACCAGAAAAUGCAUCGCAGGUUUGUUGGCAUGUACCACUCUGCCUAUUGAUAUUGAGUUGUAUGGUUCUUAAAAUAAUUGAGGUGUAUGAUUCUUAGUAAAUAAAUGAGGAUUUGAUAAUAAUUUUUGGUGUAUUUAAAUACGAUAGCAUACAAGGCAAUACCUCUAUAGGGGACAAUGAGGUUGCAGCAACGAGCGUCGUUGAUCACACAAACGCAUUUAAAACAAACGAGGUAACUAUUUUUAGUAUAUUGAAUGUGCAUCUGUGAAUUUCAUGGAAAUUCUUGCAUUCUUUUAUUCAGCAUAGUGCAUUAGGUUCAUAAUAGGGAAUAACAUAUGGGUUGGAAUCUUAGCAUGUCUACAAACAUUUUGUUAGUGGCAAAUGGCAAUGAUCUUGUAUGUACAGGUGUUCAAAAGUAAAAAUGAUUUCCUUGAUUGGACUCGCGCACAAGGAAAAAAGAAUAAUAUGGUUAUUAUCAUUAAGAGGUAUGAUGCGGGAAAGGUUGACCGAAGGAGGAAGAGAGCUCGAAUAACAUUUGCUUGUGAGAGACAUGGCGAGUAUCGAUCCAUAUUGAGGAAGUCGGAUAUUAAUGACCAAAUUUCUGAUGCAAAUAAUAAGAAGAAUAAAGAACCCAGGAAUACUGGUACUAAAAAAUGCGGAUGUCCAUUUAUGUUGAAAAGAGUCAACGUUGGAGAAGGAGAUGAAUUGAAAUUGGAGGUUGAGUGUGGGGUGCAUAACCAUACUUAUUCACAGUAUCUUGAAGGGCAUUCUUUUGUCGGACGAUUAACUAAAGAGCAAAAUGAACUUUUAGUUGACAUGUCUACAAGUUUAGUGAGACCCAAAGUUAUUUUGAACACCAUAAAGAAAAAAGAUCCACUUAAUGUAACAACGAUGAGGACAAUAUACAAUGCAAGACACUAUCAUCGGACAAAAGAAAAAGCAGGGAGAUCAGAAAUGCAACAGUUGUUAUGUAAGUUGGUUGAGUACAACUAUAUUGAGCAUCAUCGAAGUAUUGGUGUUGAUAAUGCUGUUAGUGACUUGUUUUGGACUCACCCAAUUAAUGUCGAUACCUUACAUUGUUUCCCACAUGCACUUAUCAUGGAUUGCACGUACAAGACUAAUAGGCAUCGUUUUCCACUCCUGGAGAUUGUAGGGGUAACUUCAACUAGUAUUACAUUUUCGGUUACAUUUGCUUUCAUUGACCAUGAGAAGGAAGACAAUUACACAUGGGCAUUGACAAGAUUGAAGACUCUAAUGAAUGAUGAUUGUAUUUCUGGUGUGAUUGUCACUAAUCGAGAUCUUACAUUGUUUCCCACAUGUACUUAUCAUGGAUUGCAUGUACAAGACUAAUAGGCAUCGUAUUCCACUCCUGGAGAUUGUAGGGGUAACUUCAACUAAUAUUACAUUUUUGGUUGCAUUUGCUUUCAUUGACCAUGAGAAGGAAGACAAUUACACAUUGGCAUUGACAAGAUUGAAGACUCUAAUGAAAGAUGAUUGUAUUCCUAGUGUGAUUGUCACUGAUCGAGACUUUAGCAAACUGAACUCAAAUAUAUUGAUUGCAAGGCGAGAGUACAUUUGUAAAAACAAGGUUUACUUUUUAAUGGAGGUUGUGUAAGAAAAAUUACAUUCAAAUUCAUUGCGGAUCUCUUCUUUUUCUAAGACCAAAUCAAAGAAACAAAUAAUUGAAUCAAUGAAUUACUAUAGCAGCUCCAUUUCUGACAAUGGCAAGAGGUCUCUGUGCUAAUCAAACUACCCGAAAUUUAUCCUAAAACUAUACUCGAGCUCCACCUUAUCUUCAAUCUCAAAUGCCUUCUCAAUAUGAUUUCAUCAUAAACCUGCUAUCCUAUUUAUAAGAAAUUAAGCACAAGCUAGCUCAAGUUAUGGUCUUCAAUUAAUAUUAAUUUCGACAAAUCAGUUUCCCAUCUCUUUCAUUGAUAUGAACAUGGCUGAUCUCAUUGGUGUGGCGCAAUAUUUGUUAAAUUAGCCGUUCGGGUUGAUUUCUUUGUAUAACUCAUCUGCCAAUUCUACAACUUGUAGACUUAAUUCCCAUUACAAAAUUAAAAAUAAAAUAAAAUCCAAAACCAAUGUAAGAUAAAUAAAGACUUUUUAUAUCAUAAAAUAAGACUUUCUAACUUGUAUACAAGACUAUAGUGACAAGAUCAAACACAUUGAUGGGUGCGCAAUUUCCAUCAACAUAUGUUCUGUGCGUUUAAACUGAGCGUGGAGUCUUUUUUUAGCAAUUAAAAGUUUUGUAUCAUGUAAUUGUCUUGGUUUGACAAGACCUACAUCUAGAUGAGUUGCUUCUGAAGACUAAUGUAAAACUUUAUGUUGAUAUUUCUUGAGGGUGAAACAUCGUUUGAGAAACGUUUGGGGUCUCAUUACAAUUUUUUCAUUUAUUUUUUAACUUUUGGUUUAAAUAUUCUACUACAAAUACAUUUGUGGCUUCAAUAACUAGUAAAACCACUUUCAAAUAUCUUAGUAUUGGCUUUCAGAACAAAGGGUUUUGGUAGUACAGGUGGAGCCAUGUUGUAUAGUGUAGCUGGAAUUGGGAUGAUCUCUCUCUUUAUUUAUUUAUUUUUUUCCUUUAAUUUGCUUGCUUUGAAUGUGAUGCUCAGUUCCAACCUACUAUCCUAUUUCUAAGAAAUUAAGCACAAGCUAUCUCAAGUUAUGGUCUUUAAUUAAUAUUAAUUUCCUCAAUCUGUUUCCCAUAUCUUUCAUUGAUACUAACAUGGCUGAUCUCAUUGGUGUGACGCAAGAUUUGUUAAAAUAGCUGAUCGGAUUGAUUUUUUCUUUGUACCCGAGAAGAAAUGCAGGAAGGAGGAAUUUAUAAAGACAAUGGAUACCUGCUCUUCGCUGCAAAAAACGACACUUAAAGGACAAUUUUCCCGAGGUUUUCACCGCCGUUUUUACCGUUUGCUGCAAAAAACAAAUACUCUCCCCUUGCGAGCUCCGUCAUCAAUUCCCCUCGCGAACUUUGAGUCCCUCUGAAAAAAUGAUUAAGUGAAAUUUGAAUUUUUCAAACUUUGUGUUUGGUUAUAUCUAACGAUCCCUAAUUCCAAAUUUAUGGUUUAGAUAUAUAAAAAAGAUAUCUCGGGUACUUCAUUGCUAUCCUUUAAGCUCCCCACUUUCAAACAAAGCAAAAAAUUCUAAUUGAGUUGGGUUUUGAACAUGCAGAUUAGUUAGACAACUUAAUUACCAAUCCUUAUUAUUAUUGCAACAAACACACGGAUUACACUAAAAGCUAGUGAAUCAUACACUUGCAGAUGACUUAUCCAAACACAAAGAUAAGACAUGAGUUUAUUAUUAUUGCUAUAAACACACGGAUUACAGCGAAAUUCAAAAACUAAAAACACGGAAAAAAGUAGUGAUGAAAACCAAUGCCACUUUCGCGGGGAACACGAUUGCAUUCGCACAUGCAACAAGCCUUUUAAACCCAUAGGUGACCCAAAUGGGACGAGUGAAGUCUCGUGAGGGUUUCCAGAGACGUUACCCACAAACAUCAUGCAUACUGAUCAUCAACAUCUGACUUGGGAGACUGAGUAGAUAUCCACCCCUCCAGCAUCAGGUUGUUUUUGGUUGAGGCGUAAUUCGAAUCUGUUUUCAAUGAACGGCCUGGUUAUGAGAUCGCUUUGCAAGUGACGUAAUCGGCAGCGCGUGAUUAGGUUGUUGCUGUCAGGUGGUCCGACAGGCUCGACCUUGAACAAUGUGCAAGCCCAAUUGUCUUUGGUUUCAUUUCGGUCAGCAGCUGCGGCCAGGACCAAUAGCCUGUUUUGGUCCACCCUUCUCAAGUAGUUGCCAUUGUAGGAGCAUUUGAUAUGCACGUAAUUCUUGUCGGCGUAGUCCUCAUUGUUUGGCUUCUCUGUGGUGAACUUUAUGAACCUGCUGUUUUCAUUGUCCUCAGAAAACUGGACAAUCUCAUUAAG
rnacentral:lncRNA from 1 species